rnacentral:lncRNA from 1 species
UCUCUUCCCAUCCCACCUCCCACCUCCCAUCUAUCCCAAACCCUCCCCCCUCCAAUUUUUUUUUUAAUAUUUUCCCUCCAAAAUUUUACUCCCCCUAUUUACUUUCCCUCAAACUUUUAUUCCCCAAAACUUUUUAUUUUCCCCCUAAACUUUUACUUCUCACCCUUUACUCUCAAAUAAAAAAUCAAAAUUAUCCAAAAAAAAAUCACUAAACAUAAAUAGUAAUAAUUUUAUUUAUAUAUACUAUUUAUAUUAUUAAAUUAAAUUUCACAUUUUAUAUUAUUUAUAUUAUUGAAUUGUUUAGUCAUAUUUAAUAUUUAUAUUAAAAUUGAAUUCUUAAUUAUGCCAUAAAAUAUUCGUGUUAAAAUUUUAUAUUAGUAUCAAUUUCAAAUUUUAUUUUUAAAAUAAAUUUUAUUAAAAAAUCAUAUUUUUAUAUUUAAUAUAUUUUUAAUUCCAAAAUACAUAGUGACAAGAAUCCGAAGAUAAUUGAAACAACUAAGCAAACAAAUAAGCUAACCAGUAUAUAAAAAAUUAAUAAAUAAAUUAUGAGGUGAUGAAAGUUAAUAAAAAAUUUGAUUAAGGUGGACAAAUUUUAUUACGAUGGGUGACAAUGGUUAAAAGGACCCAAAAUUAUUUUUUAAAAUUCAACUCGAACAAAUAUAUUCGAUUCGAUUCGAUUCGAAUUCCAUCUCACUCGACUCGAUUCGAGAAAACUUAAAAUAAAGUUAGGAUGAUAAAAUGAGAUUCGAAAACUCGAUUAACUCGAAAAUUUUCGAUUCGAUUCGAUUCGAUCGAAUGCUCACCCCUACCUGAUCUGGUUCUACCCCCAAAAUUCAAUGUGCCAGAUUUUGAGAAGUAUGAUGGAACAAGAUGUCCAAAGGUGCAUCUUAUCACAUUUUGCCGAAAGAUGACUGGUUAUGUGAACGAUGAUAAGUUAUUGGUACACUGCUUUCAAGAUUGUUUGGCCGACUCAGUCCUUCGAUGAUAUAAUCAACUCAGAAGAGAGAGAAUCCGAUCAUGAAAGGAUUUAGCAUCAGCAUUUUGUGAGCAAUAUAGGCAUGUAUCGGAUAUGGUGCCUGGUCGAUUAAUUUUACAAAUGAUGGAAAAGAAGCUGACAGAGACUUUUCGGCAAUAUGCACAAAGAUGGAAGGAUAUCUCUGCUCAGGUGGAGCCCUAAUUAACUAAGACAGAGAUAACGGUCCUCUUCAUUAAUACUCUGAAAACGUCAUUUUACGAUAAAUUGGUAGGAAGCGCCACAAAGGACUUUGCAGAUAUUGUAAUAUCUAGGGAGCUUAUUGAAAACGCCGUCAAAAGCGGGAGAAUAGAGGGCCCCGAGGGUUCGAAGAGGGCAGACCUAUAAAUAAAAAGGAGGCAGAGGCCCAUAUGAUUGGAACCGAGAGCCACUGUGCCUCCAAUUCGUACCUCGCCCAAUCACGACCUCAUUAUCGCCCACCUUCAAACUUCUACUUUCCUCCUCAAUGUCCCUACUAUCAAGCACCCCUGUCUUACCCUGUUUAUGCUAUGAAUAACCAAAAACCAUUCAUAGUGUUCCCACCAAACACCAUGCCUACACAAAGCCAACCCAAAAAUGAACAAAGACCAGCAAGACCCAAUCUUGAAAGACCUUAGUUUACUCUAAUUCAUGUAUCAUAUAGAGAAUUAUACCCGAAGCUGUUGGAAAAACAAUUAAUAUCCCCACAUUACAUGGCACCCUUGAAGCCUCCAUACCCGAAGUAGUAUGAUCCUAACGCUAGUUGUAUGUAUCACGCUGGAAAUCAGGGGCAUCCUACAGAAAACUGCCUUGCCUUUAAAAUGAGGGUUCAAGGUCUCAUCGAUGCUGGUAUUCUGCGAUUUGAUGGUGUUAGCAAUAUGACGAGAAAUCCUCUUCCUAACCAUACUAUCGGGAAUGUAAAUGCGGUGACAAAUGAAGACAAUUGGCAAACCAAAAUUUAUGUUACCGAAAUAAGGACACAUUUGCGGAAGGUGUGGGAGAUGAUGAUUGAAAAUGGCUUGCUCUGCACGCCUAGUAGGAUUCUCAAAGAAGAAGGUAAAAAUGACCAGAGUUUCUGUGAUUUUCAUGGCAUCGAAGGGCAUGAUAUCCAAUCAUGCAAGCAAUUUAGAAAAUUACUUCAGGACAUGAUGGAUGACAAGGAGGUCAAAGUCUUUGAUAGGGUGGAAGGGGCCGAGGAAGGAGAAAUAUGUGCCUUUGAUGAUCAAUCAAUGGCUUUCUUUUAUAGCAUCGAUAGACCUUUGGUGAUUUAUUAUGAGGUAAAGAAGGAAGAAGUUAGUCGAGAAGUUAAACCAAGUUUGAUAAUCGAAGUACCUGCUCCUUUCUCUUACAAGGACAACAAGGCAGUGCCGUGGAAGUAUGAUGUCAAUCUCGUUGUGCCUGAAGGUGAAAAUUCAAAAGUUAUGAAUGAAGAUGUCAGUGGAGUAGGACAUUUUACUCGCAGUGGAAUGUGUUAUUCUCUCGAGACGGUUGAACCAAAGAAGAAAGUUGUUGGCCCGAGCCAAAAAGGAAAAGCACCAAUGUAUGAGGUUGAGGAUGAUGUUGAAACACAACUUGAGCAAGAAGUUAAAAAGGCUGUGAAUGAGGAGGAAGCACAUGAGUUCUUAAAUUUUAUUAAGCACAGUGAAUAUAACGUUGUAGAACAAUUAAACAAGCAGCUGGCCCGAAUCUCGGUACUAUCUCUAUUGUUGAACUCGGAGCCACAUCGAAACGCAUUGCUAAAAGUGUUAAAUCAAGCUUAUUUGGCAAACAAUUUAUCUUUGGAAAAGCUUGAUAGGUGGGCAAAUAAUCUAAAUGCAGAUAAUUUCAUCUCUUUUAGUGAUGACGAAAUACCACCAAAUGGUAGGGGCUCCGUAAAAGCAUUGCAUAUCACAACCAAUUGCAAAGGCUACAUAGUACCAAAUGUGCUCAUUGACAAUUGAUCUGCACUCAAUGUUAUGCCUUUGGCCACGCUUUCUAGGAUGCUAGUUGAUAUGUCUUAUCUGAGGCCAUGCCAUUCUAUAGUAAGGGCAUUUGAUGGGACACGACGAGGGGUCAUGGGAAAGAUCCAAAUUCCUCUAAAAGUGGGGUCAUGUGCAUAUGAUAUCGAGUUCCAGGUCAUGGAUAUUACGCCUUCAUACAAUUGCCUUUUAGGAAGACCUUGGAUCCAUUCUGCUGGGGCAGUUCCUUCAUCUCUCCAUCAGAAAGUAAAGUUCAUCAUGGAUAGCCGCUUGAUUACUGUCGCUGGUGAGAAAGACAUCGUCGCAUCUAUCUCUGCUGAUACACCCUACAUCGAAAUAAGCGAAGAUGCUGUAGAAUGUUCUUUUCGCUCCUUGGAAUUUAUUAAUACUGUAUUUGUUGCUGAAGGGAAUAAGAUCCCAAUUCCCAAACUGUCGAGAAAUACCAAGAUGGGAAUUAAGCUAACUAUGGGAAAAGGAGCUCGAGCGAGGAAAGGCUUGGGAAAAUAUCAACAAGGGAUGGUUAGAGCUUUGAAACCAACGCACCACAAGGGUCGAUACGAUUUGGGAUUCAAGCCAGAUAUACAUCAAAGAAGAAAACAAUUGCAAAAAGAUCGAGAAAGAAGAAUCGCGAGAGCUUCAGGCUGGGAAUUAGAAUGAGAGUCAUUGGCGUAUCCUCCUUUGUCAAGAACAUUUACAUCAGCAGGAGUGAUGUACCCAGAGCAGGACAAUCCGGAAGUCACAUUAUUGAUUGAAAAGAGUCUUCAGAAUAUCAGCCUGAAUGCUAUUGACAAUGAGAAUGAUGAAAUUAAGAAUGCUUCAAUGAUACGCCCUUGUCCUCCUGGAUUUGCUUUGAACAACUGGACUGCUGUGGAUCUCCUUAUAGUUUUUAAGUCCCCUUCAGAGUAAUGCCCAAUGUUAACCCUUCAUUUUGUGUGUCCUUAAACAGUAGGGUUCCUUUUGUAAGAGCUUAUGUUUGCUCUUUAUCAUUUCAAUGAACAUUAAUAAAUAUGCAUUUUAUUUUAUAUUGUCGUGUUCUUUUCAUUUCCAUUAACUUCGCGACUGCUCAUUCUAUUCAUAUCUAUUUCCGGUAUAUGUCUCAUAUCAUCUCAUAUCAUUCUGUAUUGAUUCCAAUACCUCAAUGCUCUUCUAUAGCUUUUUUCCAUUCACCUUUCAGGCGCUCAGAUAUCAAUGGCAUGAAUAAUUCCGUUAUGAGUCCUGAAAUCAAUUUUGAGAAGGCUGUUUGUUUAGGAGAAUUUGAAGCUGACGAAAAUGUUGAAGAUUGUGUCUCGUCUCCUGGCUUACUGAGAAUGAUAGAAUAAGAAGAGAAACAGAUCCUACCCCAUCAAGAAUCUGUUGAGGUAGUAAACUUGGGGAAUGAAGAAAAGAAACAAGAAGUGAAGAUUGGGACUUUCAUUUCAGAAAACACCAGGCUGGAUUUGAUCGCCUUGCUCCAUGAGUACAAGGAUGUGUUUGCCUGGUCUUAUCAAGAUAUGCCAGGGUUGAACACAGAUAUUAUGGUCCACAAGCUCCGACUGAAACCAGAAUGCAAGCCCGUUCAGCAGAAAUUAAGAAGGAUGAGACCCGAAAUGCUGUUAAAGAUAAAAGAAGAAGUCAAGAAACAAUUUGACGCUGGCUUCCUACUAGUCUCCAAGUAUCCAGAAUGGGUAGCUAAUAUAGUCCCAGUGCCGAAGAAAGAUGGCAAGGUGCAAAUGUGCGUGGAUUAUCGUGAUCUGAAUUAAGCAAGCCCUAAGGAUAACUUUCCUUUACCACAUAUCGACACUUUGGUGGAUAAUACGGCAAAGCAUUCUCUGUUUUCUUUCAUGGAUGGCUUCUCAGGUUAUAAUCAGAUAAAGAUGGCUCCCGAGGACAUAGAGAAAACUACAUUUAUAACAAUAUGGGGAACCUUCUGCUAUAAGGUAAUGCCGUUCGGAUUAAAGAAUGUUGAGGCAACAUAUCAGAGAGCCAUGGUGACGUUGUUCCAUAAUAUGAUGCACAAAGAAAUAGAAGUUUAUGUUGAUGAUAUGAUUGCCAAAUCUCAGGAAGAAAAAUAACAUGUUGGAAAUCUCAAGAAGCUGUUCAAAAGGCUAAGAAAGUUCCAGUUGAAGCUUAACCUGACCAAGUGUACGUUUGGGGCUACCUCAGGAAAACUGCUGGGUUUCAUUGUCAGUGAGAGAGGUAUCGAGGUUGAUCCAGACAAGAUAAAAGCUAUACAAGAACUGUCUCCCCCGCGCACACAGAAAGAAGUCAGAGGAUUUUUAGGAAUGUUGAAUUACAUUGCUUGAUUCAUUGCUCAAUUUACCAAUCAGUGCGACCCAAUUUUUCUACUCCUUCGAAAACAUAACCCGGGAGAAUGGAACGAGGAGUGCCAAGUGGCCUUCGAUAUGAUAAAACGGUAUUUGUCUAAUCCUCCUGUGCUAGUACCGCCGACCCCUGGAAAACCCUUAAUAUUGUACCUGACCAUGUUUCAGAACUCAAUGGGUUGCGUACUGGGACAACAUGAUAAGUCAGGGAAAAGAAAAAAGGCAAUUUACUACCUCAGCAAGAAGUUCACAGAAUAUGAGGUGAAGUACCCUUCAAUUGAGAAGUUUUGUUGUGAAUUGAUUUGGACGGUUCGAAGGCUCAGACAAUACAUGUUGUAUCACACGACAUGGUUAAUUUCAAAACUGGACCCAAUAAAGUACAUGAUGGAGUCACCUGCACUCUCAAGGAGAAUGGCCUAAUGGCAGAUCCUGUUGACUGAGUCUGACAUUGUAUAUGUGAGCCAAAAGUCGAUAAAUGGAAGCGCAAUAGCUAACUUCUUGGUAAGUCGAACAACAGAGGAAUACGAACCUUUGAGAUUUGAUUUCCCAGAUGAAGAUUUGAUGUGCAUUUCAGAAAAAGAAGGCGAGUCAUCGAAAGAGGAAUCAUGGAAGAUGAGCUUUAAUGGUGCAUCAAAUGCAUUGGGGCAUGGGAUCGGAGCAGUCUUAGUGUCAUCUGAAGGGGACCAUUACCCACUCAUUGCCAUAUUGAAUUUCUUCUGUACCAAUAAUAUAGCGGAGUAUGAAGCUUGCAUCAUGGGACUUCGUGCAACUAUCAGGAGGAAAAUCAAAAUUUUAGAGGUACACGGGGACUUAGCAUUAGUCAUUUAUCAAAUUCAUGGAGAUUGGGAAGUGAGAGAUCCAAAAUUAGUCAAGUACCACGAUCUCGUUGCGAAAUUGGUCAAAGAAUUCAAAGAAAUGACUUUUAACUACUUUCCACGAGAAGAGAACCAAUUGGAUGAUGCUCUGGCCACCUUGGCUUCAAUAUUCAAAGCAAACAGAGAAACUGAAAUAAUGCCUAUCCAAAUGAGCAUAUAUGAGACCCCCGCACACUGUUUUAGCAUUGAGGAGGAGUCAGAUGGACGACCAUGGUUCCAUGAUAUCUUGGAGUACAUCAAGAAUCAAAGGUACCCCGAGCAGGCAAACGAGAAUGACAAAAGAACAAUCAGAAGAACGGCUAUUAGAUUUGUUCUUGACAGGCAUAUUCUAUACAAAAGGGGAAAAGAUCAAGUGCUCCUGAUGUGCGUGGACGCUGUUGAAGCUAGAAAGAUACUUGAGGAGGUUCAUGAAGGAAUUUGUGGAACACGUGCUAGUGGUUUCACCAUGGCCAGGCAGAUUAUGAGACUUGGUUAUUAUUGGCUGAUGAUGGAAAGGGAUUGCAUUGGCUACGCACGAAAGUGGCACAAAUGUCAAAUUUAUGGCGAUAAAAUUCAUGCAGCUCUGUCGCCCCUUCAUGUCAUGACUUCUCCGUGGCCAUUUUCUAUGUGGGGCAUGGAUAUUAUAGGGCCAAUUUCCCCGAAAGCUUCCAAUGGACAUCGAUUCAUCUUUGUGGUUAUAGACUACUUCACAAAAUGGGUAGAAGCCACUUCGUUUGCUAAUGUGACGAAGGCUGCAGUCUGUAAGUUCUUAAAAAAGGAGAUCAUAUGUCGAUAUGGUCUGCCUGAAAGAAUAAUUUCAGAUAAUGCUUUAAAUUUGAACAACAAGAUGAUGAAAGAAGUAUGCGAGCAAUUUCAGAUAAAGCAUCAUAAUUUUUCACCCUAUCGCUCGAAUAUGAACGAAGCAGUAGAAGCGGCUAAUAAGAACAUUAAGAGGAUUAUCGGGAAGAUAACUAAGACAUAUAAAGACUGGCACGAGAAGCUAACAUUUGCUUUGUACGCAUACCGCACCUCUGUGCGAACAUCUACGGGGGCAACUCUUUUUUCUCUAGUCUACGGAAUGGAAGCUGUUCUGCCCAUCGAAGUGGAGAUCCCAUCCCUACGUGUCUUGAUAGAGUCAAAACUAGAAGAAUCAGAGUGGGUUCGAGCUCAAUACAACCAGUUAAACCUUAUUGAAGGGAAACGCUUGAAGGCAAUUUGUCACGGACAGAUGUACCAGAAAAGAAUGAUCACGGCCCAUGAUAAAAAGGUGCGUCCAAGAGAAUUCUGCGAAGGAGAGCUAGUACUAAGAAAAAUCCUCCCGAUACAAAAAGACUUUCGAGGAAAAUGGUCACCAAAUUGGGAAGGGCCAUAUGUUGUAAAAAAGGCAUUUUCAAAGGGGGCUCUAAUUCUCACUGAGAUGGAUGGGAAAGAAUUACCUAAUCCAGUGAACUCAGAUGCUGUGAAAAAAUAUUAUGCCUAAAAAAACAAACAAAACAAAAAAAAAUAAAAAAGGAAAAAAAGGAAAAAGAAAGAAAAAUCAAGAUGAAAACCUGAAAAGGGCGUCUUGAUAAACAAAAAGGAUUAGGAUGAAAACCCAAAAGGGCAUCCUAAUGAAGUGGGCUCGGGCUUAAAGGAGCAAAGUGACUUGAACGAGAAGUUGAAUGACGAGGUUGCAAUAUUCGAAGCAUUCUCAAAAGCUCGAAAUCUUUUACAGGAGAAGCUGUGCUUGGAAAAGAUCCAGACGAAGAAACGUGGAGAAGUUCAUGCGUUGGAUAUCUAAAGCAUUUGUAGCCAUUGGAUUCACUUUCUUUUCUUUGUGAUGCUUUCUUUAUUGAACUAUUCCUUGUCAAUUUUCUUUGUUGCUUUUGAAAUAAUUUGAAUAUGAGGUAUUUCUUUCAUGCCUACUUUGCCAUUUUUCAUGCAUCUCGUGUUUGAUUCAUUUAACUGAUAAAUGGUAAGAUGGCAUACUCUAAACAAAAGGAAUGUUGAGCAUUACUUGGAUGAGAAUUUAAUAAGUAUGAGGGCCCCAAAGCAAGAAAAAGUUCAACAGGGGGCAAGAGAGUGAUAUACGAAGAAAUGUGGAUUAUUCGCGAAAUUUGAAGAUGAAUACAAAACCUGAGAGAAAAGUCAAGGAUUGAAGCAAUGAAUGCAGUCCCUCACGAAAAGAGAGGGAAUGUGACAAACAGACCCAGGGCGCAUGGCAUGAUCAUGUAGGCAUAAAAGCAUUUAGAGCAAACACGUGCAUAUCAUGAUAACAUUGUACAUGACAUAUACAGGUAUCCCAGUAGAACAAGGAAUAUUGGGAGAAAGCUGCACAGAAUCAAUUAAGAAGAAGGCUUUUAGUUUCACCUGAUGUUUUUUGAAAGAAAUAUUUUUCAAUUUCUGUUUUUUUUUUUAAAAUCAAUCAACUCAUAAUGCAAGAGGUGAGUUGAGCCUCGGGUCGCAUGCCGAGGUAUUCUUUUCAAUUUUUACUUUUCAAAAAAAUCAACUCAUAUUGCGAGAGGUGAGUUGGGCCUCGGGUCGUACGCUGAGGUAUUUUUCAAUUUCUGUUUUUCAAAAAAAUCAACUCAUAAUGCGAGAGUUGAGUUGAGCCUCGGAUCACACGCUGAGGUAUUUUUCAAUUUCUGUUUUUCAAAAAAAUCAACUCAUAUUGCGAGAGGUGAGUUGAGCCUCGGGUUACACACUGAGGUAUUUUUUAAAUUUUUGUUUUUCAAAAAUCAACUCAUAUUGCGAGAGGUGAGUUGAGCCUCGGGUCGCACACUGAGGUAUUUCUUUUAAAUUUCUGUUUUCAAAAAUUAACUCAUAUUGCGAGAGGUGAGUUGAGCCUCGAGUCACGUCGAGGUAUUUUUCAAUUUUUGGUUUUCAAAAAAAUCAACUUAUAUAGCGAGAGGUGAAUUGAGCCUUGGGUCAUAUGCCGAGGUAUUUUUCAAUUUCUAUUUUUCAAAGGUCAACUCAUAAUUUGAGAAGUAAGUUGAACUUCAGAUCGACACCAAGCUAUUUUCAGUUUUAGGCUUUCAAAAAAUAUAAACAAAAAAUAUAAUAAUUUUGGACAAUCGAACAAAAUUCAGUGCUUUUAAGUCUUUGCUCUAUCCCUGUUUCACAGCGAUAAGCAAAGAGGGGCAGCUGACAUCACUGAAUUUUGCCCAGUUAGGGUUUUGGGCUAGUUUGGUCUCGUAUGGGCACAAUGAUUGGGCCCAAUAGGUUUUAAUUUUGGACUUAUUUUAGCCUAUUUUUAAUCUUUGUUUUAAAUAUUAAUAAAAUAGUAAUAAUAAAAUUUUGAAAAAAAAAACAAAAAACGAAAACAAAUUACAUUUUAGCCCCCGAACUGUUUAAAAAUUACAUUUUGACCCCUAUUUUUUAAAAAUUUAGAUCUUAACCCCUAAUAAUUUGUUAAUUACAUUUGGGCCCCUAAACUUUCUAAAAAUUACUUUUUGGCCUCAUAUUUUCCUAAAAUUGCACUUUUACCCCAGAAAUUUCGCACCUUCUGCAGUUUGGUCCUUUUGGACUUGUCAAAUCGUCGCAACCAGCAGGCCAGCUCCAGCAGCCUCCCUAGGCCAUGAUUGCUCCACUGCCACCUGAAAAUAAAGAAGAAGAAGACAAAAUUGAAGGAUUUAAAAGAAGGAAAAAAGAGAAGAAAUGGGGAGAUUUGAGCAGCCAAGAAAAAAACAAAAAUUUUAAGCAAAAAUAGCAGCAAAAAAAAGGGCCACCGCCACCGUCGAUCUCGCACCGCCGCACCACCGCUGCAUCACUACCAUCCCAACACCCAACAAAGCAACUAGGAAGUAAAAAAAGAAAAAAAUAGCAAGGAAAAAAAGAAAAAACAAAGGAAAAAAGAAAAGAAAAGGGAGAAGGAGGAGCACCACCGUGGCCGUCACACUGCCAGGCAGCAAGGCGUCGUCGGCGAAAGCAAUGAAAGGGGGCUGAACGGGAAAGAAAGAAAGAAAGAAAAAGAGAAAAAAGAAAGAAGAAGGAAGAAGGAAGAAAAAAAAGGAGAAAAAAAAACUAAUAGUCCGGUCAAACCGACCCGACCUGGAAGCCGACCUGACCCGAUCCACAACAGACCCGCACCAGCAGCCCUAGGCCCGAAAAAAAAAAGCAAAACCCCAAAAAAAUAAAGUAAAAAAAAAAGAAGCAGCAGAAAUUAAUAGCAUGCCUUUUUAACAGGCCCAACAUCAGCCCAAACCCGCUAGCCCCAGCGCAGCCCAAACCAGCAGCAACAUCGGCCCAGUCCAUUGGCAGCCCAAUAAGCAGCAGCCCAACAGCAAAAAAAAAAGAAAGGCCCAAACAGCCCAUAACAUUGGGUUUGGUAAAUUCUUGAUUUCUUAAUUUUGUCUAAAUAUAUAAAUGUUGUUUCAUUUUUUAAUAUUUGUUGCACAUUUUUAAGUAUUUUUAUUUUGUAUUUAUGUUCUUUUUUAUUUUAUUUUUUUUAAAUUCGAAUAAUUUCAAUAAAUAAGGCAACGAAUCGAUUUAACAUUAAAUCGUUGAUUUCAUCACUAUGUUGGGUGAAUAUCAUCGGUUUGUGUUAAACACGAUACGCCCUUUUAAAAAAAAUCUAAAAUAUUCUAAAAUUAUCGUGUUUUUUUAAAUUCUCGUGUUUUAAUAGAAUCACGAUUAAAUAUUAAGUUGAAUCGAUUUGGCACUAAUUCGAUGAUUUCAUCGCCAUGUAGGGAUGAAUAUCAUUGAUUCGUGUUAAAUACAGUACUUCUUAAAAAAAAAUCGUGUUUCAAAAAUUUUCGUGUUUUCAAAAUAAUUUCUCGUGUUUCAAAAAAUUCCUUGUUUUUUAAAAAAAUUUCGAGUUUUCAAAAAUUCUCAUGUUUCAAAAAUCUUCGUGUUUUCAAAAUUCCAGUGUGUCAAAAAUUUUUGUGUUUUCAAGAUUUCCUGUGUUUUCAAAUAUUCUCGUAUUUUGAAAAUUUUCUUGUUUUAAAAAAAAAUUUUCCGUGUUUCAUAAAUUUCCGUGUUUUAAAAAAAAUUUCGUCUUUCAAAAAUUUUCGUGUUUUUAAAAAAUUGACCAUGUUUCAUAAAUUUUCGUGUUUCAAAAAAAAUCCUCGUGUUUCGUUUUUUAUCAAAAAUUUUAUGUUUUCAAAAACAAAUUUUGUGUUUUAAAAAUUUUCGUGUCUCGAAAAGAAAAUUCAUGUUUUCAAAAAAAAAUUCGUGUUUCAAAAAUUCUCGUGUUAAAUACGGUACUUUUUAAAAAAAUUGUGUUUCAAAAUUUUCGUGUUUUUAAAAAAAAAUUUGUGUUUCUAAAAUUCUUGUAUUUUAAAAAAAAUUUCGUGUUUUCAAAAAAAGAAAAAGUUGUUGUGCUUUAAAAUUCUCGUGUUUCAAUCGGAUCACGACUAAUAUUAAAUUGAACUCGUAUUUUUGAAAAUGAAGACAACGCGCGUUUAACGAUAUACCAAUUUUGGGCAUCGCGAGGGUGCUAAUACAUUCCUCGCGCGUAACCGACUCCCGAACCCUAAUUUUCUCUAGAUUUUGACGUGGACCUAAAAUCGACUCUUUUUUAGAAAAUUUGAAAAAUAAUUUUUCUUUUAAAAAAGAGAAUUUAUUUGGAGUCCGAUCACACCUAGAAAAAAGAUCGGUGGCGACUCCCUUUUUAAACAAAAUCGAAACUCCAUUUUCAAAUUUUCAAUGAUUACUUCGAAUAGCGCCCGUGUCAGAAUUUUUAGGUCGCUACACAUAUUUAUAUAAAUUAAAUUAUAAUUACAAUUAUAAAAAAAAAUAUUUAAAUAAAUAAAAUCAGUAUAACUAUAAGCAGCAUAAAUAUAUACUUUUCUCUCAUUUUAUUUAUUUAUUUAUUCGAAUUUCCCAUUAUUUUUUGUGCAAUAAAAAUAAAAAAAAUCAAUUUAAAAAGGUGACAAUACCGUUUUUGUUUUGUCCUUAAUUUAAUCAUAUUUCAUUUUCUGUCCGAAGUUUUACAAGUGGAACAUCACUUCAAUUAAAAUUUUAAAUAUUUCAUAUGUAAGUCUUUAUGUGUACGGAAUUCUAGGGUUUAACUGCAAGUUUCAUCUUUUUAUUUUAUGAAAAGGAAUUUAAUCUCUUAAUUCAAUUAUUGAAAAACACGUGAACUUAAAUCAGGGGAGAGCAUUUGUUGGUUUAAACCAAUUGAAUUGACUUUGGUCAAUUUUAUUUUAGGCAGCUUUUUCAAUUAUGGGUUCAGUUUUAUUGGUUAUUUCAAUUGGUCAUCAGCUUUUGAAUUUUAAAAUUGGCCUAAUCGAAAAAACAGACUAAUUUUAAUGAUUUAAAUUCAAGCCCGAUAACUAACUAAAAACAACCCAAUUAAGCCGAUUAACCGACCAAACCUAGAGUUGGUUUGGUUACGUUUGUUCUUAAGCUUUAAUUCAAUUGGAACCAACCGAUAAAACCAAAUGCUGUCCCCUUACUUCAACUAUAGAUUUUUGCUAAUUUGGUUGCAUAUAAAUUGACGAACAAUUGAUUUUUGCUAAUUUUGUGCAUAUAAGUUGCUAAACUACUGAUUUCCCAGAUAAACAAGUUAAUGACACUAUUUAACAAUGUUACUCAAUUGAUUUAACUUCUUAAUUUUAACACGGUACAAGGAUCAUAUUCUAAUAAAUUAAAAUAAAAAGGAUUAAAAUUUUAAUUUUUAAAAAAUAGAUGGAUGAAAUUCAUAAUUAAACCAAACCCUAAACACCCGAUCAGUUGUAUUUGAAAAUUUGAGGUCGUCUUCCAUCCUAUUGUCUCGUCGCACGAAAUGGAAAUCAAGUCCAAGCCUUUGGACUUUAGCCAAACUGAGCUACUAGUGGCCAUGUGCCAGCUACAAAGGGUUAAUUGCACUAGAUGUCCUCAAAACAAUAAUUGAUAGGUUAAAUUGGUUUUUGAACUUCAAAACUUCUUAAUUGAAUCCUUAAGGUACUACUGUCAUAUCGAUUUGAUCCUUUUGUAAGUAUAACCAUUAGCUUGAAUGUUAAAUGUUAGUUCAAAUUUAACGUAGAGUAUAUUUAAAACAUGAGGAUCAAAUGAUAAAUAUAUGUGUAGCUACCAUAUGGACAAUUUGGACAUAACAUGUUAAGAAAAAAUAAAUAAUCUUGUUAAAACUCAUUGACACAAUUUUUUAAUAAGUCAAAUUCAAAUUGUCCAUAUGAUACACAUAUACACAUAUUAUACACCACGUUAGAUUCGAACUACAAUUGAUGCCUAAAUUGAUCGGUAGAUUGAUGAAAGGACAUUUGAUUGAUACAAUAUUGAUAUUUGAUGAUUUAAUUAGAAUAUUUUAAAAUUUAGGGACCUAACUAAAAUUUAAAGAUAGUUUGAAAAUGUUUGAAGCAAUUAACCCUACAAUGAAGGCAAAAACGAAGUGCUAGUAAACAAUGUGGUUCUCUUACAAACAAGUAUUGGGUCUUCAAAAGAAUUGGGUUCAAAUUUUAGAGAAAACAUUGUUAAGAAGAGUAUGGACUUUAACACUAACAUAAAAGAAACCUUAGUUCCCCACCAGAAUUCUCUUUAAAAAACUUAAAUCACGAAUUGGCACUUAAAUUAUAUUUUUUCCACUUUAAUAUUUUUUUUGUUUUAUUAUAGUACAUAAACUAUCAAUUUUAUUUAUUUUAUCCAAAAAUUACUGAUAUUCGAUAUGAAUGUGCUACGUGUUACUAAUUUUUUUAAAUUUUUGAGUAAAUUCAUACGGAAAUAAUAAUUCGAAAAAACUCAUGAAAGAAAACAAAAACAGGGCUUUAAUGUGCACGAUCAUGUCCAUAAGUAUUAUUGUUAUUUAUUGUUGAGAUUUUUAGAACCUUAUAAGUUACCCAUCAAUUAUUGGGAUUGUGAAAGGGCCGAAAUAAAAAAAAUUGGUCCCUAAACUUAGCUUUCCAGGAAAAUUUUUACUAACCUUUUCGUAUGUUGCUCUUUUAAUGCUUUAGCGUGGUCCAUAUUCUACAUUGAAAAUUUUUUAUAUACUAAUCUUUGUUAAAUCGAAUAGUAAAAAAUUUGAUGUUUUUAAAUAAAUUUUGAGCUUAUAUAUGAUUAAAAUAGUGCUAAGAAUGUUUACUUCUAAUUUAAAAUUUCGACUUGAAUUAUAAAUUUAAUUAUUAUUUUUGUUUUUAUUAUUAAAAAUUAAUAUAGAAAUAUUAAUCAGUAUGUUGUCAUUCUAACAAAUUAGAAUUUAAAAUUUUCAUUUCAUAUUUAUAUGUAUUGUGGAUAUAUGUUCUUUAUUUAAAUUAUCCUAUAAGUAAUAGCAACUUAUAAAAUGUAAAUUAAAUCAACAUUGUUAGAGUUGUGUGACUCGAACAAACCCCCAUUAAGUAUAAAACUGGACCGGGUUGCGACUGAGGGUGCGGAGGUGGUACGGACCAUGCCGCACAAGCAGUAGAAUCUGUAUAGAACUACACUUCUUUAUUUGACAUUUAUUAGAAUAGGGUUUUUCAACCUUUAAAUAGAUGUAGUCGAAACUCCUCUUAUAUCGUUCGGUUUUCAACAUUACUGAAUUUCUCCUAUUCUGGCCAUGGUUUUUUUACCGAAAGGGUUUCCAUGUAAAAUUUGUGUGUUUUAUUUUAUUUUUCUUAUUGUUUUUCGAUCGUUCUAUUGUCAUUAUCGACGUCUAUUAUCAUAAACUCAUUUAAAAUUAUUUUCACAUAUGAAGCUGAAAAAGUGUUAUUAUCAUAAUAAAUAAAUAUUAUUUAAUAUAUUAUAAUUUAAAUUGAAUUUUACUAUUAAAUAAAUUAAUUAAAAAGUUAAAAGUUCCGUGUAAAUAAAGGAAUAAUGUAAGUAAAUACUAAAAGAAAACCAGUGAAAGGGUAGGGAAAAAACACGAAAAACAUGGUAAAAGUAUCACGGAGAUUCUUAUAUUAGGAAUUAGAUUACAUUUUGCUCUAUUUACUAAAAAAAUUGAGCAAAUUAGUCCCUAUAUGUUAGAUCAAAAGCAAACUAGUCAUUCUCUUAAAAAUUUCAUCCAUUACUACUAUUAAAAACUGGUCCAUGUAUUUUAGCAUAAGAUAUACAUGGCAGACCAUGUAUAACUAUCUGGUUAUUCCAUAAAAAAUACACCAGUAGUUUUUAACAAUAGAGAUGAAUGAACUUUUAAUAGAAAAAUAAUCAAUUUACUCUUUGAUUGACAUUUUUUAAGUAAAAAAAUAAAAUACAGUUUAAUUUUUAUUAUAGAGAUCUUUGUGAUAUUUUUACUCAAAAAAGACAGACAAUUUGUGUUCGUAAUAAUUAAAUUUAAAAUUUACAUGUAAUUGUAUUGUAAUUUUAACUUCCGAAAAAAACAUAAUUGAAAAACUUUUUGAAAAGUCAGAAGAUGCUAAAUAGGACCAAGUUGAAGUGUUGAUGUCUUAGUGUCGAAAGCAAUACUAAAUCGAUAGUGAUGAGUAGUAAUAUGAUUGAUUAUUAUUAGUGAAAGAUAAUCAUUCGUUUUAGUGGAUAUUUUUAACAAUAAAAAAUAAAAUAAAUUUUUAUUUAAACCUGUCAAUUUAAAAUUUAAUAUAACUUUUAAAUUUUAAAUCCUAAAUUGAAACUCUAUAUUUGAAAUCCAAGAAAAAAAAUACUAUAUUUUUAUCCAAUAAUGAUAUAUGGUGUUAUAUUAUUUGCUAAUGGUGUAUCAAAUAUUAUUUCAAAUUAAAUUUUAUUGAGGGGAGGCUACCUCUUUUCUAUAGUGUUUUCAAAAGGUCACCUGUCGAAAGUUGAUAAACCUCUUUGUAGAUUGGUGUUAUCCGGAUAAAAAUUUUGUUUCCUAACUUUAUACAAAACUUGAGUUCAACAAACGAGAACAUAAGCAUCGUGCACCACGCAUCGGCGAAUUCAAUAAUUCCCGCAAGACGCUCGAAAUUUCGUAAAGUUGGAAAACUAAAAUCUUGUGCUGAUCCAUCGUUCCCCAUCAACAAACACUUCAAUAUCCGAAGGGAAUCCAUCACUUUUUUUAAUAAACUUAAAUUAUCUCUAAAAAUUACAACAUGGGAAAGCUUGUCAUUCCAUUUCAAACUUGUAAAUUCUCGGAGGAAAAAUCACUUCAAUUAUUACAAAUAAUCCGCAAAUACAGUCCCCAUACGGUGUCUAAUCUUCUUAGUCACUUGUCUAAAUCACCCUCUACAUGGUUCAUUUUUUCCACGACACUGAUCAGUUUGGCUACCCAGAAUUUUCCCCAACAAGAAAAACACCAUAGAUAAUAAUUACCAUAUAAACCCAAACCUUUCUCAUUUCGGUUUCUCACCAAAGCUUUUUCCUUCAAAAAAUCUGGGUUUCCAGUUUUAAAUUCAUGGCAGCCAUUAUCAUCUUCAAACAAGCUCAAUUCUUACAGUUCCUUUGCUUCUUUCUCAUCCUAUUUCCUUCUUUAGUACAAGGAGAUAGCAACUGUACGUGCGAACCUGAAACUAAUGAUUCAAAUAAAAACUCUUUAGCGACGAGAUACAAAAUCGUCGCUAUUUUUUCGAUUCUCGUCGCCGGAGCCAUUGGCGUUUGCGUUCCCCUUUUGGGGAAAACCAUCGAUGCUUUACGUCCCGAAAAAGACGUUUUCUUCGUAAUCAAAGCGUUCGCCGCCGGUGUGAUAUUGUCUACCGGAUUCAUCCAUGUUCUUCCCGACGCUACCGACAAAUUGACGUGUCAUUGCCUCGACGAACAUCCUUGGGGAAAGUUCCCCUUCGCCGGAUUAGUGGCGAUGGCGUCGGCGAUUGCUACAUUGGUGGUUGAUGUUUACGCUACUUCUCAUUACACUAAGUCUCACUUUAAGAACCAACCACGGCAGGUUGACGCCGGCAGCGGCGACGAUGAAAAGAAAACCGAGGAACGUGAUGAUGAUCAAAGCUACGUACAUGUUCAUAAUCAUGGAACGAGUCAUGGUUCGGUCUCUAUGGUCGAGCCAUCGGCUUCGUCUGAGCUUGUUCGACGUCGAGUUAUAUCUCAGGUACAAAAAAUAUGGGUUAAUUUCAUCAUAUGUCCUCAAAUUAUUCUCUAGAUUUUAAAUUAGUCCUAGACUUCAAAGCCUUUCGUCAACUUGAUUGUUAAUUUUGGUGUUAAAUGUUAAUUUGGAUAGUACGUGUAUUAUAUUUAGGACACAAGGACCAUAUUAAAAACAUAUGUAUCUAUUGAAUGAAAAACAUGUUAUAUGUUAAAAAAGAAUAAUAUUUGUUUCUUUUUUGGUACAAGCAAGCAAAUACAUUAUAAAAUGACAAAGGGAAUGAGUUUACAAAAACAAAUAUCAAACCAUAAAAUGAUCAAUUAACUUGAACUUCAUGCAGGUUUUGCUACUGAGCUAUUGAUGUGAUUGUCCCUAUUUGUUUUUUUAACUUGCCAGAUCCAAGUUGUUUAUGUGGCAUGUAUACACAUAUUUACAAUUUGAUUCAUGUGUUUUAAAUAUAUUUCACGUCAUAUCUAAAUCAGUAUUUAAUGCUUAAAUUGUUGGUUAGACGAAUUGAUAUAAUAUCAAUAAUUUAAGGACUCAAUUAGAAUGCUUAAGUUUAGAGAUCAAUUUAAAAUUUAGGUGAUAAUGUUAUAGUUGAGGUCUUUGGGUGUAAGUAAAUCAAAUAUUAUAUAUAUUACACCUGCAGUCAUAAUAAACACGAGCCAAUUGAAAAUAUGUUGAUAAUGAUAAAUUUAAUCCACUUGUUUUAAAUAUACUUUGUGUCAUGUCUAAACAAGUAUUUAAUAUCUAAAUUGACAGCUAGGCUGACUAAUUGAUAAGAUAUUGAUAUUUUGACAAUUCGAUCAUAAAACUUGGACAUUUAGGGAUUAAUUUAGAAUCUAGGUGAUGGUUUGAGGACUUUGAGAGUAAUUAACUCAUCAUAUUUAUGUUUUUGAAGGUUUUGGAGUUAGGGAUAGUGGUGCAUUCCGUGAUAAUAGGGAUAUCAUUGGGAGCUUCUAAAAGUCCAAAGACUAUAAAGCCAUUGGUGACUGCAUUUAGCUUUCAUCAGUUCUUUGAAGGCAUGGGACUUGGUGGAUGCAUUUCUCAGGUAAUUAUAGCAUGCAUCUUUAAUGUCCCUUCCAUGGUAUAAAAUUAAUUGAUUGUGUGUUUUAAUCGAGAGGAAAUUUAGUAGUUUUUUAGGGUUAAAUAUUUUAUUGAUACCCAAUAUAUUGGGACAUAAACUUGGUAAUUAUUCUUAUCUUGGGAUUUGAACUUAUUUUUGGUCCAAGUUAAUCCUUGAACUUAACAAUUAUUCUCGUAUUGGGGUCUGAACUUUUUUUGUUCAAGUUUGUCCUUGAUAUUUUCUUAAAACCCUAAAGUUCAAACCUCGAUAUAAAAACAAUUGUCAAAUUCAGGUUUCAAUAUGAAAACAAUUGCGAAGUUCAGAGACUAACAUAGAGAACAAAAACUUCAAGCCCUAAUAAGGGAACAAUUGCCUAGUUCAAGCUCUAAUAUGAGAACAAUUACCAAGUUUAAUGAUUAACUUGGACCAAAUAAAAAGUUCAAUCCCAAAUGUGGGAGUUGUUGCCAAGUUCAAGUUCCAAAUAGUGAUCUAACCCUAGUGUUUAUAUUAUGCGUAAGUUGCGGAUUUGAAAUUUUAGUCAAAUGUCAUGUCAGCUUACUAUUUUUCACAUAAUACUCACAGAAAAAAAAAACGCUAUUUUAGUUAAUAAAUUUAACGGUUACUAUUAGAGUCAGAAUUGAAAUUCCAAAAAUCAAAAUGCAUAGGGACUAAAAAUGAUCAAAUUGACUAAAUCCACAAGUUAUGAGACUAAUAGCAGAAUUUGAUCAGUUAAGUAUUAAAAUUUCAAAACUCGAACAAGACUUAAAAGGGACUAGAUCACAACUUACAAAUAAUACAUAGACUAAUAACAGAAUUUAACCUUUAAUCAAUGAUUUCUAAUUUUCUACGUUGUUGUUUUAUUAGGCACAAUUCAAGCUCGGUAGUGUUGCAAUAAUGGCACUCUUUUUCUCCCUCACAACCCCAUUUGGAAUCGGCAUAGGAAUCAUCAUAUCGAAAGGGUACGACGAUAGCAACCCGGAAGCUCUCAUUGUCGAAGGAGUUUUCAACGCGGCGUCGGCCGGGAUUUUAAUAUACACGGCGCUCGUUGAUCUGCUCGCCGCUGAUUUUAUGAGCCCGAAGUUACAAAGCAACUCCAUACUUCAAGCAGGAGCCAUUGUUUCUCUUCUACUUGGGGCUGCUUUCAUGUCUGUCAUGGCUUAUUGGGCUUAAAAGCUUGAGGGAUCAUGAGCCAAAUUUGCCCAUCAAUUUCCAAAUAAAAUAUAGCCCUAUUUUGAAAAUAGUUAAUACCAUGUAUUUAUAUUGCACUAUUAUAUUUUAUUAUAUUAUAAUAAUGUUUAAAGUAUUUUAUAUUUAAAUAUAAAUUUGAGAUAUUAAUAAUACAUAUUAUAAAAUUUUAUAUAUUUAUAUGUUUUUGUUGUAUUUUUUAAAAUAAAUUUAUUCAAUUUAUUCAAAAAGAAGAAAUUUUAAUUAUCAGUCAAAUUUCACUCUCAAUCCUGCAUCACUUUUUGUUAGGUUAAAAUAAGCUUUUAAGUCCCUAUACUUUAACUAUAUAUGAAAUUUAGUUCCUUUACUUUUAUUUUAAGAAAUUUAAUCCCUCAACUUUUCAAAUUUAAAAAAUACAAAUUCAAUUUUUAACACGAUUAAAAUUCAUAUUUAAUUGCAUAGUUAGCAAUGUGAGUAAACUUUUUUAUUUCAAAAUAUCACCAUCAAGUUUAACAAAAAAAAGUAACGAUAUUAACAAUUGGACCUGAAUUUUAAAAUCUGAAAAGUAGAACGAUUAAAUUCAUGAAAAUAAAAAUAAAAUGACUAAAUUUCAAAUUUAUAAAGAAUAUAGAGACUUAUAACAUAUUUUAAUUUUAUUAAAAUAAUAUGAAAAAUAAACAUAUUCAUUUAACUUAAUUAUUUUGUUACAUUAAUGAAAUGAAUUAAUGUUAAAUUUUGGGAGAUUAUAAUUUUAGUAAAUGUUUCUAACUAUUGUAAGAUUGUAGCCAUUGAUCUGCAUCAAUAAACGACGCCGUAAGAAAGAGAGAAGCCUGCGUAUCAUUUAGCUUUUGAACAUACGGUGCCCUUCCAUUCAUAUUUGCUCCUGCACCCGUACAAUUGUAUUCUCCAUAGAAUAUGGUCCUGUAUCAUUAAAUUAAUUACCAAAUUUAUCCCAACCCGGAAAUUUGAUUCAAUUAAUUAAAAUUUAAAUUUAAAUUCAACUUAACUCGAUUUGAACAUAAAGAUGUCGAUUAAAUAAAUUUACUUAACCUAAACUUAAAAUGAUCUGAGCUCGGAAUAACUUAAAUGACCAAAAUGAAUAAGUUGAAAUAAUAUGGAUUUAAGUGUCAAACCUAAUUAACCAAACUCAAAACAAUCUGAAAUUUGGGGCGGAACAUAAAAAGAGCUAGAGAGGGACUUGGCCCCCAAAAAAAUUGGAAAUUUAUAAUUAAGUCCUUAAAUUUUUGAAAAUUCUAAUUAAACCUACAAAAGUUAUGACGAUUUUGAUUAAACCCUUUAAAAAUCUCAUCACUUUUCUCAAAAAAAAAAAAGAUUUCUUAAAUUUUUUGAAAAUUUUAAUGAACUCCUCCAAAACUUAGUGGAACUUUCUGUCACUGUCUGAAAUCAGGGACGAAGCCAAUGACUUUGGGUUGGGACCAAGAUAAAAUUUCAAAAAGAGAAGGGAAGCAAAGCUAGUAAAUUUUGUGUUAGAUGAUUUAAAUGAAUUAAAUAAAUAAUUUUUGAAAGGGCCAAAAAUACAACUUUUUUCAUUUGACCAAAACUGAAAAGGAUUGACUUGAAUUAUUAAUUUUAAAGAAUGAUUAAAAGUACAAUUAUACCAAAUUCGAUUAUCGGAAAGUUUUUAAAAUCUAAAAUAUUGUUUUUUUUGAAUUUAUUAAUUAUUUGAUUUUCGUAUACGUACUGUGUUGAAUAUUGGCAAUAUCCCACAUUAGGAAAAGAUAGAAAGGGAGGGGGUUUGGUUUGUUAUAUAUAGAACCCCUCCCCCUUUGGUUUUAUCAUCCCAAAAUCUUCUCCUUUGUAAUAUUUCUAGAAGAAAUAUUAAUUUGGUAGUGUCCGAGGACGUAAGCUAAAUUGGCCGAACCUCGUUAAAUCUCUGGUAUUUUAUUUCUUAUUUGUUUGCUUAUAUUUAAUAGCUUUAUGUUGGUUAUAUUUAUUUAGUUAUUAUUGCUAUAAAUAUCUAAGUGAGUUCUGUCUAGUUGUUGGGUUUUAAGCGGGACCAUUUGUGACCCCUCCAAUUUAACUGGGAAUUUUCUUAGUAUAAUUGUUGGCAUAAUAAUUAUCUAAAUAUUUCUGAUAAUAUUGUUAUUAAUAUUAUCGUCGCUUCCGCAACAAUUGGUAUCCGAGCCAAGGUUUUGUAGUAUGCUCUGUGUUUGCAGCUUAGUCUGAUCUUACACAUCAGAAACAUUUCCUAAAGCUUGUGGGUAUUCUGCAUUUGGUGGCUAUUAAGUAGAAGCUAUGGCAAAAAUGACAGAAGAAAAACCAUCCAUAUCAACAACUUCCACUUCGUACAUUUUGCCGAGGAUUGGAACUGCAAAUACGAGAUUUGUAGUGGAAAUUUUUGAUGGAACAGGUCAUUUUGGCAUGUGGCAAAGUGAGCUUUUAGAUGCCCUCUUUCAACAGGGUCUAGAUAUUGCCAUUGAGGAAGAAAAACCAGAAGGGGUUGAUGAUAAAGAAUGGAAGACCAUCAACCGAUUGGCAUGUGGUACAAUUCGAUCAUGUCUUUCCAGAGAGCAGAAGUAUACAUUCAGUAAAGAGACUUCUGCAAGUAAAUUGUGGAAAGCAUUGGAGGAGAAAUUCUUGAAGAAGAACAGUCAAAAUAAGUUGCAUAUGAAGAAAAGACUGUUUCGUUUCAAUUAUGUUCCUGGUACCACGAUGAACGAGCACAUUACCAAUUUUAAUCAGCUGGUGGCUGAUUUGUUGAAUUUGGAUGUGACUUUUGAAGACGAAGACUUGGCGUUAAUGUUGUUGGGAUCGCUUCCUGAGGAGUUUGAGUACCUUGAAACUACUCUACUUCAUGGAAAAUCGGAAGUAACUUUCAAUGAAGUAACUGCUGCAUUGUAUAGCUAUGAACUACGCCGAAAGGAUAAGUUGAAAGGUUCAGGUGAAGCAGCAGUGGAAGCAUUGGUAACAAGAGGUCGUCAGCAAAGUCAGUCUAAUGGGAAGAGAAGAAAGUCCAAAGGUCGAGCUGUUGCCAAAGAUGAAUGUUCUUUUUGCAAAGAAAAAGGACAUUGGAAGAAAGAUUGUCCAAAAUUGAAGAAAAAAUGGAAGACUCCGCAAGAUGCAAAUGUUGCAGAAUGCAAUAGUGAAGCAGAGUCAGACUUUUCUCUUAGUAUGACAUCUUCAACAUUAUAUGCAGAUGAGUGGAUCAUGGAUUCUGGUUGUUCCUAUCAUAUGUGUCCCAUUCGGGAAUGGUUCUUUGAAUUUCAAAAACUAGAUGAAGGGGUUGUUUACAUGGGUAAUGAUAACACGUGUAAAAUAGCCGGGAUAGGUUCAAUUAAACUGAGGAGUCAUGAUGGAUCUACUAGAAUUUUGCGGGAUGUACGAUAUGUCCCAAAGUUGAAGAAGAAUCUCAUCUCUUUGGGGUCGUUAGAAUCUAAAGGCCUAGUUGUGACAAUACGAGAUGGAGUUCUUAAAGCAACUUCAGGAGCAUUGGUGAUGUUGAAAGGCAUAAGAAAGAACAAUCUGUAUUACUACCAAGGUAGUACAGUGGUCGGGACAACAGCAGCAGCAAUUACGAGUACCAAGAAGGACGCUGAGGCAACACAGCUGUGGCAUAUGCGUUUGGGCCAUGCUGGUGAAAAAUCCUUGCAAACUCUAGCCAAGCAAGGAUUAUUGAAAGGUACAAAGACUUGCAAACUUGAAUUUUGCGAGCAUUGUGUUCUGGGAAAACAACGAAGGGUGAAAUUUGGCACUGGGAUUCACAAUACUAAAGGGAAGAGGAAAUGCAAUCUCUAGAGAAAAACAAGACGUGGAAGCUGGCACAACUACCAAAAGGGAAGAAGGCGAUUGGUUGCAAAUUUGAAGACACUAUUGAAGUUAGUGUUAUGAGAAGAUGUUCGAAGAUGUGGAAUAUCGCCAAGGUGGAGAUUUGUUGAAUAUUGGCAAUAUCCCACAUUAGGAAAAGAUAGAAAGGGAGGGGGUUUGGUUUGUUAUAUAUAGAACCCCUCCCCCUUUGGUUUUAUCAUCCCCAAAUCUUUUCCUUUGUAAUAUUUCUAGAAGAAAUAUUAAUUUGGUAGUGUCCGAGGACGUAAGCUAAAUUGGCCGAACCUCGUUAAAUCUCUGGUAUUUUAUUUCUUAUUUGUUUGCUUAUAUUUAAUAGCUUUAUGUUGGUUAUAUUUAUUUAGUUAUUAUUGCUAUAAAUAUCUAAGUGAGUUCUGUCUAGUUGUUGGGUUUUAAGCGGGACCAUUUGUGACCCCUCCAAUUUAACUGGGAAUUUUCUUAGUAUAAUUGUUGGCAUAAUAAUUAUCUAAAUAUUUCUGAUAAUAUUGUUAUUAAUAUUAUCGUCGCUUCCGCAACAUACUGGUCUCGUGAAGGGUCAUUGAAAUCAUUCCAACCCUCGGGUGCAAUAAUAUCCGUCAUUGACGUCAAAGCGAAAACUACACGAGAAUACGGCCGCCAUGCGCGGCCGAGCCAUAUUCUUCCUGUACCACCAAUACUACAGUUCACGAACGCAAACCCACUGUCUUCAUCCGCGGACGCUCUUCCGUGUGCCGUCACUGCUCCGUUUAUGGAUUUCGAUCCCGGUGCCACCUGGUUCGCCAUGGAUAUUAACUGGCAAUCCUAUUGAAGAUUAUUGAAUCUUAAAUUAGUCGGCAUAUCGACGGUGUUUCUAACUGUUCGCUCAGUAAAACGUUGUAAUUACCUCGUAAAGGGACUUUCCGUUCCCGAAAAUGAAGUCGAUUGAACCUUGUAUAUAGCAAUCCUUGAAGUAAUGGCGGCCACGGUCAUCGUGGAGGGUGUCUUGAGCUCCGUAGAAACCACAACCCCAGAAAGCUGCUUGGUCGCCGGCGAUUCUAAUGGCCACUGCUUGUGCUCCGACAUCACCUGGACGAGGUAGAGGAGCUACAUUCUACCAUACAUGCAUAGGAAAAAUUGAAUACAUCAGAUUACAUUUGUACUCAAUUAUAUUUCACCUUUUCUAUUCAAUAAAUAAAUUCUUCCACGCUAAAAAGUAAAUUAUUAAAAAUUUAAUUUAAUUGUACAGAUGACAAAAUAACUAGACAAUAACACGUGAUGUAUAGAGAUCAAUUGUUAACAAAAUUGGUUAAUUUUUUAGGAGGACCAAAUAUAAGAAACUUUUAAAAUUAUGUCAUUCUACUUUACAAAAUUGGGAAAUUAAUCCAUUCGUUGGUAGACAGAUGAAUUUGAAUAGUUUACUUUUGCUAAUUCAUUGCACUAGAAUGUUGAUUUCUAGGUUAAUAAGUAAAUCACAAUGUUGAACAAUAUUGCUUAAUUAAAUUAACUUUUCAAUUUUUAUAAAUUAUGAGUAUCUAAUUCUUAGGAGUAACUUAUUAGUUUUAAUCCAGUAGAGGGAUGCAUUUCAUACUUAGACUAAUCUUAAUUUGUUAUAUAUUAUGUGGUUAUAAGGGUGUACAUUUUUCAAUUUUAAAUGAGUUAAACAAUUGAAUUGAAUUGGCUCAGUUAAUCGGUCGGUUAUCAAAUCUAAUUCAGUCAAAGAUCAUCGGUUAAAGUUUUUGAAAAUUUCAGUUACUAGUUAAUUCGAUUCGAAAUAAGAUAAUUAACUGAAUUAAUCAAUUAGCUAAAAUUAAUAAUAUAUUAUAAGCUCGAUAUAUUACAUAUAUAGGCUCAAUAUAGGUCCAAUACAUUAUAUAAGCCCAAUAUAUAAAAAUUAAUGGAUUUAUAAAUAUUGUUUAAAAAAUAUUAUGAAAAUUUAAAAUAUUUGAAAAACUAAAAUUAAUUUUUUUUAAAAACAACAAAAAUUAAAAAAAAACAAAAAACAAAGAAAAGUAAUAUUUUUUACGCAAUGCUUGUUAUUAUGUUUUUAAUUUAGUAUUGUUAUUAGGGGUGAGCAUUCGAUCGAAUCGAAUCAAAAAUUUUCUAGUUAAUCGAGUUUUCGAAUCUCAUUUUAUCAUCCUAACUUUAUUUGAAGUUUUCUCGAAUCGAGUCGAGUGAGAUGGAAUUCGAAUCGAAUAUAUUUAUUCGAGUUAAAUUUAAAAAAAUAAUUUUGGGUCAUUGUAACUAUUGUCACCCAUCGUAAUAAAAUUUGUCCACAUUAAUCAAAUUUUUUAUUAGCUUUCAUCACUUCAUAAUUUAUUUAUUAAUUUUUUAUAUAUUGGUUAGCUUCUUUGCUUGCUUAGUUGUUUCAAUUAUCUUCAGAUUCUUGUCACUAUGUAUUUUAGAAUUAAAAAAUAUAUUAAAUGUAAAAAUAUGAUUUUUUUAAUAAAAAUUAUUUUAAAAAUAAAAUGUGAAAUUAAUACCAAUAUAAAAUUUUAACACGAAUAUUUUAUGGCAUAAUUAAUAAUUCAAUUUUAAUAUAAAUAUUCAAUAUGACUAAACAAUUCAAUAAUAUAAAUAAUAUAAAAUGUGAAAUUUAAUUUAAUAAUAUAAAUAGUAGAUAUAAAUAAAAUUAUUACUAUUUAUGUUUAGUGAUUUUUUUGGAUAAUUUUGAUUUUUUAUUUUAGAGUAAAGGGUGAGAAGUAAAAGUUUUAGGGGAAAAGUGGGAGGGAGUAAAAAUUUUGGGGGAAAAUAAAAGGUUUUGAGGGUUUUUGGGAGUAAAAUUUUGAGAAAAAAUAAAUGGGAGAGUAAAAUUUUGGUGGGAAAUGGAUUUUGGGUAGAUUGGGGGGUUGGGAGGAGAGGGGAAUAAAAGUUUUGGGGGGAAAGCGGGAAGGAAUAAAAGUUUUGAGGGAAAAGUAAAAAGGUUUGGGAGUUUGGGGUAAAAAUGUAAAAUAUUAUAGUUUGAUAUUCGAAUUAUUCGAAUUAUUCGAGUUAUUCGAAUUCGAAAACUCAACUUGAUUCGAACUCGAAAUUCGAAAAAAAAAUUCGAGUUGAUUCGAAUAACUCGAAUAACUCGAUUCGUUUAACUCGAAAUUCGAAUUUUUUUCGAUUUUUUCGAGUCGAAUCGAGUUUUGCUCACCCCUAAUUGUUAUUAUGUUUUUUGUUCUUUUUUUUUCCUUUUAAACUUCUUUGAAUUAAAAAUAAAGGAAAAUUUGUUAUGAAUUUUUUUUUAUGAAUAAAUUUGUUUAAGAAAAAAUAUGUGCAAAUUUCGGUUAAUUUAGUUAAUCGCCUAAAUUAAUCAAAAUUAAUUCAGUCGGUUAAUAUUUAAUAGAAAAAAUUUGUUUUAGUUUACUGUUAAGAGUUUCAAAGUUUUAAUUAAUUCAAUUAAUAAUUAUUUGAUUCUAAUGAUAAUCGAACCGACUAUUUUAACUUAUUGAAUUGUGUAUAUCUCACCAUGAAGCUCAUGUUCUUGGCAAUAAAAUUGGUGGAGAAAACUUGAACUGAGCCACUAUAAAAGGUUCCAUUUGCAGAAUUUGCAGUAUCAUUCCAAGCUAUUGCUGUUGAUGUAUAUCCUUGUCCUUGAAAUGUAAUAUUGGGUUUUGUUUUUGGAAUAAUCACUUUCUCACUGAAAAAAACAAUAAAAUGUAUUUAUAUUUCCGGUUACAUCGUAAGAAAAAUUGGAUCAAUCAUUCUAAAUUCUUAUACUUUUAAAUUUUGAAAUUUUAGUCUUUAUGAAAACUACUGUUGUUAAUCUAAUAACCAAGUUUUUAGUAAUAAGUAAUAUGUAGAAAUAACAAGCUGACAUAAUAUUAUACGUAUGAUAAUAUGUUUGCCGCAUCAUUUUUUGGAAAUAACAUCAUUUAAUUGAAUGAAUUUAACAAUUAUCAUUUAGUGAUGAUUGAAAUUUUAAAUUUUAAAAAGUACGGAGAUUAAAAAUGAUUAAUUUAAAAUAUAGUGACUAAGUCUACAAAUUUCACAAAGUAACAUCACGUAAAGAUAGAGAACUCACUAGUAAAUCCCGGUAUUGAUCCAUAUUAUGCUUCUUUUCAUGCUAAGGUUUGGAACAGCAUCGACGGCAGCUUGCACGGUCGUGAAAUUACAACACCCGUUCUGAUCAACGCAAAGCGUCAACGUCGUGUUGGUUUCCGGAGGUGGUAUAUUUGGAGGGAAAUCAUCACAAACGGAUACCGGUUUACCCUUAUCGGGGUGUUUACGGUGUCGACAAAAGUCACUAAAGUCGAACGGGAUGAACUUCAUGAUGAUACAUGACGACGAUGAAAGGGUUAGACUAGAAUCAAUUAUAAUUUUGUGGAAAUGUGGGCUUGGAUCGAUGAUAAACCGGGAUAUGAAAAUAGCUAAAAUAGCAAUAAGAAUAGUAAAACAAAGGCUUUUUGGGUUCAUUGUAUUUUUUUUUUAUGAAAUAUGGAGGGUGGCAUGUGAUGUGUUUAUAUAUAAAUGAAAUAAUAUGCCAUAAACAUGGACUUGAAGUUUAAGGGUUGAUGACAUGCCUUGCAAAUCACCCUGGUUGGCUUUUGGUAAUUUUCUUGGAAGAUUUUCUCACCAACCAAACAUGAAAUGGAAAAAGUUUAGACUUCACUUUUUAGCAUCCUUUUUUGUUAGGGGUCCACUAUUGGGUUCAUUUCUUAGACUGGGUUACGGUUUUUUAAGGUUUUCAAAGGUGAAAUUGUGUUAUUAGUCCUUGUAUUUGUUUAGGUUGUAGACUUAAUCUUUUGUACUCUAAUUUAGUCGGUUUUAGCCUUGUACUUUUUGAAUUGGUCACUUUCGAUCCCUAUGCUUUUCGAAUUUUUGAAACUUGCUGGUAAAUAUGUUAGGUCAAAUUCUGUUGUUAGUCUUGUAAGUAGUAGAUUUAGUCCAUAUUUGCCAAUUUGGUCAUUUUUAGCCCCUAUAUUUUUCAAAAAUUGGUAUAUCAAUUUGAUUCAAAUGCUAGUUGGUAAAUCUGUUAACUAAAAUAACGUGGCUUUUCUAUGUGUAUUAUUUAGAAAUAAUAAUCUGACUUGGCAUUACAUACAUAUGUGAAAAUAUGUUUAUCGCAUAAGAUUUUAAAAAUAGCAUAACUUAACAAAUUUAACUAGUAUUGUUUCGUCAGGAUUAGAAUUUUAAUAUUACCAAAUUAAAAUGUAAGGACUAAAUCAUCAACUUAGACAUAGUGCAAGGACUAAUAUCAAAUUUUGACCUUUCUCAAAUUACUUCAACAAAUUGUCCUUGCUUAAGGUCUUUCGAAUUGCGUCACCAAUUUGUCCAUAGUAGUCUUUUCAUUAUAAGCUAAAAUUGUACCUAAAUGCUUUUAUAUAAAGGAAUAAAUAAUAAAUUUAAUAUUAAAUAUUUACAUAUUUAUUCAAUUCCGUCCUUAUUCUUUUAUUUGGAGCAAUUUUUUCUAUUUAAUCUGUCAUUGUUCGUAAUUUUAUUUUGUUCAAAAUUUUUCUAAAUUAAUUCAUCUCGGUUAAAUUAUUUUGUGUAGAGGCAUUUGAAAAAUAAGAAUAAAAGAAAAUUUUAAGAUAAGAUUGUUUCAAAACAGUCGUCACUUUCAAACCAACUAUAUUUAUCCAUAAAAAUAUUAGUGCAAGGUGGUUAAAUAAUGCAGCAAUGACAUCAUCCACUCGAGUUUAAAGGUGUUCAUGAGUCGGGUGAUUGGUUCGUUUUGAAUCGGGUUUAAGUUUAUAUUUUUCAAUUUUGAUCUGGUUCAACCUGACUCGUUUUAUUAUUUAAAAAUGAUAAAAAGGAUUAGUAUUUGGUAUAGUGACGAUUUACUUUUUUUAUUCUACAAGUAACAUUAAAAAUUGUCAUGUUACUCUUUUUUAUAUUUUACUAUAUCUUUAUGGAACACUUGUCAACCCCAUAUUCUGCUUGUAAAAUCUAACAAUUUAUCAAAUAUUUAUUCUAUUCAAAACUUUGACUUGGAAUUUUUUGAAAAACAAGACUUGAUCUGACCUAUAAAUAUCUCUGGAAUCACCCAACCACGAAAAUUAAAUAACUAAAGACUGAAUUCUUUUAGAAUUUUCUAAAAAGUACAUAGAUAUAACUUAUAUAAAUAAACAUAGCGGGACUAGGGUGAAGAAAAAAAAACUGAAAAUUGAAAAUUGACUUGAUUCGUGGUUUUUAGAUAUUUUUGGAAUACAAGUUAAAAUUUGAGAUUAUUUCAAUAGAACCAAAGUUUAUAUUUAUUUAAUUUAUAAUUUUUCAAAAUUUUUGUAUGAUGUAAAAAUAAAUAUUUUAUAUUUAACUUAGUGAAACUGAUUUAAAAAUUACGUGCACAAAAUUAUUUUUGAAAACUACUAUAUUAGAGUUAUUAAUUAUUUUUUAUUUUGCUUAAAAAAUUAUAUUUUAAGAAAUAUUUAUGAAAAAAAAACUUUAAAUAUUAUCAAAUGAUAUAAAAAAAAAUAUAAAAUAAAGCUCGUUUGUAAAAAUAAAUUUAAAAAUCCUUUUAAUGUUGAAUUAAGUAAAUUAUUUGGGACAAUACUUCAGCGACUAAGUUUACAAUUUAAUUAUUACAUGUGAUGUAUAAUAAAUGAUUAACUUCUUUUUGUAAAUUUGAUUAUCCGUCAUGAUUUUUUUUGAAUAAUUUUAUUAUAAAUUUUGAUUAUACUCAAAUUUUUUGGCACAAUGUCUAAAACUAUCUAUAAUCUCUACCCAACCCAUAAAUAGAAGGACAAUGUGCUUCAGUACAUUCAAACCACGCUCUCUUACAUUGAUAAUAAUAUUCAUAUCAAUCAUAAUUUAAAUAAAGUUAAUUUAUGAUUACGAUAUUAAUGUUUUGUAAAUUACUUAAACAAAUUAUCCAUUAAUUGGAAUUUGCUAAGUUGUUUUAAUUGCUUAAGUUUCAUCAUUAUUAUGUUGACAUUAAAUCUUUUUGUUAAUCAUUAAUUUUAGCACGUUCUUUCUUGUACACAACAUAACUUCAAAUGCCAUUGUGAUUAUCCUUUUUUUUUUGUUUUAAGUCACAAUCUAAAAAGUAAUAAAGAAAAAAAAUUAAAAUUAAUUGAAAUAUCUCAACUCAUAAAUAGGAGGAUAAUACGCUUCAAUGCACUCGAACUCACGUCUUCCUGCAUUGACAACAAUGUUUAUAUUAAUCGAGCUAAGACUCAAUCAACAUAUUAUAUUAAUAAUUUACUUAAAAGAAGUUAACAAUUUUGUAAGAAAAGAAAAGACUCAAUGUAUUCCACCACCGGUAAGCUUAAUCUUUUAAUAAAGAUACCGUACACUUAAGACAUUUAGCCGGUGAACAAGAUAAUUCAUCAAGAACUCUGAUAGUAUUUUCUAGCUAGAAUUUAGCUCUCUCAGGAUCAUCCUCGGCAGUAGCUCGGAAUUCUUCAGCACCGUACUUACGGAUCUUAUCAACAGGAGGCUUACCAACUCUGAUAGGUUAUGUACUUUGAGGAAUAACGGGAACUGGUUGAGGAAUAGGAGGGAGUGGAGGUUGUUGAGCAGCUGGGUUUGUUCGUACAAACUCGGUGAACCACUCAUUCAUCAUCUGGAAGAAGGCUUCUUUAGCCUCUCCUUCCCGGCCCUCAGAUACAGACCUCGUACCAUUCGAAGCUAUUCAUUAAUGGAGGCUUGAGCUUUACUCUCUACUUCAUCUGAAUCAACUCAGUUGAAUGUCAUUGCUAUAUGAAAACAUGUUUUAAAACGGUCAAGAGAUAUCACACUAUCACAGGUUAAAUAAUGACAUGGAUAGCUAGACUCGUAUAUGCUAUGUUAGUCUGAGAAUUGACUAAAUCGUAGCUCUGAUACCAAUAAAUGUAACACCCCUAACCUGAAUCCGUCACCAGAACAGGGUUACGGAGCAUUACCAAAAUUUACAAAUCAAACAGAUAGAAAAUGCAAACAUUUCAUAUCAUAUAGCAUUCAUGUCAAAAACCAAUCAAAAUCAUACAUAUUGUCCCUUAUACGAGCCAUCGAGGCCCAAAAUAUACUUUAGAAACAAGUCAGGACUAAAUCAGAUAUUUAAAUUUUUUUUUAGAAAAUAUUGAAAAUUUUCAAAGCUGCAGGGGUCACACGGCCAAGAGACACGCCAUUGUCUUAAGCCAUGUGGACAUUCGAAAUAGAGACACAUGGUCGUGUCUCAGCUCGUGUCUGUGCCCGUGUAACUCCCUGACUUGGGUCACACAGCCAAGCCACACGCCCUUGUGCUAGGCUGUGUGAGCAUAUUGACUUGCACCCUUAAGAAGAUAUAGGGGACACACGGUUGUGUCACCUGGCCGUGUGUCACACAUGGCUGAGACACACGCCCAUGUCUCUGCCCGUGUGGACGAAAAUAGGUCAUUUUCCAAGUCACAUUUCUCACCCAAUUUGACACCAACCUAACUCAACAUUUUUUCACAUCAACAAGUCAUAACAAGACAUUCAAAACAAGCCAAAAUCAAGUCUUAAACAUGAAAUAUCACCACAUACAACCAAUAUGCUCUUAGGUACCUCAAAUGACAACUUAAAAACAUGUCAACCAAGUAUCCAAACUUACCUAAAUAACCAAAUACAUAUAUGCAUAUUCAAACCACAUUUUACUUUCUUUCAUUCUACCAUAUCAGCACACAUCAAAUAUGAUAAUGCCACAUAUAUAUACAUCAAAAUAUACCAAUCACAAGCCAUAUAAGUGGCUAGCCUCAACAAAACACUUAUAUGGCAACAAUGGCCAAAUUAACCUAUACAUGCCAUUAUAACCGAAAUUAAUUAACCAAAAGUACCAAAAGAGCCGAUGGAUAGUGUGAAAUAGCUUUGAUAAGCUUCUAACUCGUACGAGCUUCUGAAUUACUAUAAAACACGAAAAAUAACACUGAGUAAGCAUUGAAGCUUGUAAGUUCGUAUAACAAAAAAAUUAACUUACCAUUUAAUCACAUUUAAGGUAAGUAUAGAAACAUAUCCAAACCAAUUUGGCCAAAAGCCUAAACACAUAUUCUCAACAUGUUAGCCAUGUAAAACACAUAUAAUAGUCAAUAAACAUAGAUGAACAUAACCAUUAAGCAAGUUCCAUAUACAUGUAUCAUCCAUUUCAUGUUUCAAAUUAUCAUGUAAUAUCAUUUCCAUGUCUUUACCUGUAAUAGUUUGUAUCGAACUCAUAUUGUCUCAUAAUAGAACAUUGCCCGUUAAACCAUUUAGAAUAUCAUUGGAUACUCGAGUAGUACACACGAGGUGUACUGAACUGAAAUUCGUCAAUUCAUGUACAUGUAUGCUCAUAAGAGCUAUGAAUCGGUAUGCUUUCACGAGCAGUGAAUCGGAAGCUCAUACGAGCUGAGAAUCGGUAAGCUCUCACGAGCUGUAAAUUGGUAAGCUCAUACGAGCUGUGGUGUGUCCGCAACACAUGCAGGACCUCAACCAAAUCGAUAACCCUAAUGACAUGUCAUUUGUAUCCUACAAAUUCCUAAGGUUCAAACGGGACUCGGUAAUUUGUCGAAUAUGCAAUCGGUAUUUAUACAUGGAAAUUAUACAAAUCACACACAUAUAAUUCAAUUUAAAACAUAUAAAUUUACAAUUUAAUUACACGAACUUACCUCGACAAGUGUACGUAGAUACGGAGGCAACUAAUCCGAUAUUUUCUCUUUGCCUCGAUCUAACUCUGUACGAGGUUUGACAGGAUCUAUACGGAUGAAUUUAAAUAAUUUCAAUAUAAUUCUCAUUCAAUUUAAUCCAACAUGAAAUUUUGGAAAAAUUACCAUUUUCCCUAUACUUUUAAUUCCUUUGUAAUUUAGUCCCUAGGCUAAAAAAUGAAUUUAAUGCAAUUUAAUCCUUACUCAAGCCUAGCCAAUUUUUAUAUAUAUUAAAAGCAGCCCAUAUGCUUCACAAAAUUCACAAAUAUUACCAUAAAUUUAUCACAUUUUUCAAUUUAGCCACUAAUUGAUGAUUUCAUCAAAAUUCUCUUUACAAAAGUUGUUUAUCUAACAACAACCAUUCAUUUUCUAUCAUCAAACUUCAAAACUCAAGUAUGUUCAUAAAUAUAAAAACCCUAAUACUUUAAAAAUUUUGCAAAUUAAUCCCCGGGCUAGCUAGAUUAAGCUACAACAAUCCCGAAAACAAUCAUUAAAAACAAGACAAAAAUACAUAACUAAUUGAGUAAAAUAAGCUUGCCUAAAUUUCAAGCUUCCAUGGCUAGGGUUUUUUUUUUUAAUUUUGAUAGAAGAUGAUGAUAAUAGUUUGUUUUAUUUAAUUUAUUAUAACUUUAAUCACUAAUUUCCAAAAUUAACCUUAAUAAUUCAUUCAAAUUUCAAAGAUGACAAAUCCAUGCUUAUCCACUAACAACCUUAAUGGAUAAUUUCUAUAUAAGGACCUCUAAUUUAAAAUUCUAUAGCUAUUUAAUACCUUUAGCUAUUAGAACAGAACCUGUGCACUUUACGCAAUUUAGUCCUUUUUAUCAAAUUAAGCAUGUAAACGGUAAAAUUUCUUAACAAAAUUUUUAUAUAGUAUUUCUAUCAUACUGUAAACCAUAAAAUAAUAAAAUAAAUUUUCUAACUUUAGAUUUGUGGUCCAGAACCACUGUUUCGAUUUCACUAAAAAUGGGCUGUUACAAAUUGGGUCAUCUAUUCAUAAGACGGUUGAAGAUAAAGUGUGGAAACUAAUUAUUUUUGGUAAGAAUAGUCCUUCUUUGUCACAUAUUUUUUUGUUGAUAACUUGUUUUUGUUUGCUGAAGCAGAUAUUGAUCAGGUUAAAGUCUUAAAGAAUGUUCUCAACAUUUUUGGAGCUACCUCAGGACAUAAAGUCAAUAGACUUAAACCUAUUGUGUUCUCCUCUAGCAAUAUGGAUUCCAACCAUGCUAAUGUUAUCUAUAGUAUUCUUGGUUAUUGUCAGAAUGAUGAUUCGGGUAUUUACUUGGGACUACCUCUCUUUCACCGAUGAAUAACAGUGAAUACUUUCAAAUUCAUUGUGGAUAAAGUUAGACGAAAGCUAGAUAAUUGGAAUGCCAAAACGCUUUCUGUGGCGGGACAAGUGACUAGCUCAAUCAGUUUUAUUAUCGAUUCCUAAUUACUUUAUGCAAACUGUGAAAAUUCUAUCUAGUAUUUGGGUAGAAAUUGAGAAAAUUGUCCGAAAAUUUAUUUGGAAGAGUUCUAAAGUCUCUCAGAAACUGACUUUGGUAAAGUGGGGAGAUUGCUGUUGUAACAGCACGAUUUUUUUACCCUAAUCGGAACAGUGGUUUCGGGACCACAAAUCCGAAUUAGAAAAAUAUUUUAAUAUUUUUUUCUGUGUUUAAUAUGUUACUAGUGUGAAAAUUUUGUGCUUUAAUUUUGCCGUUUGAGUGUCCGAUUAAAUAAAAUGAUUAAAUCGCGUAAAAUAAAAAUUUAAUGGUUAAAUAUGAAAGUGCCUAAUUGUUGUUGUCUUUAUAAUUUAGAGGUUUUAUGAUGCAAUUAGCCCACUAUGUAAGUUAGUGGGUGGCAAAGGACUAAUGUAACCUUAUUAUAUAUGUUUUAUAUAUAUAUUAGUAAAAGUUAAUAUAGUAAAUUAAUAAUAAGGUUAAUAUAUGUUUAAAAUAACAAAUUAAAAGCCAUGUUCUUCAUCUUUUGGCCGAAUUUGAAAGAAAAUAAAAGGGUUUAAAGCUUUGUUUCAUUCGGCACUUUCAAGUUUUGAUUAAGGUAUGGAUUUUGUUCGGUUUUUGAUGAUUUUUAUGUUUUUGAGAUCGUUGCUUCGAAUCUAUCCGACCCAUGCUUGAAUUUUUGAUUUUGAUGAAUAUUUUGAGCUAUGCCAUUGAUGAAUAAUUGUGUUUUGUGAUGUUUGAUAAUGAAUAACGAAAGAUAUGUUUUAGAUUAAUAUGUUUUGUAUUGGAAUUUUUGGUGAAAUUGAGUAAUUAGGGUUAAAUUGCGAAAAUAAUAUUUUUACAGACUAAAAUGUGAAAUAAAUGAAAUGUGUGGACUUUUAUGAAGACAAGGAACAUUCGGCCUUAGCUUAGUGUGGGCAAAUUUUGUGUAUUUUGUGUUUUGUGCAAAAAAGACUAAAUUGCAAAAAGUAUAAAAUGUUAGGGGCAAAAUGGUAAUUUUCUCAUUUAUGUAUUUUUGGACUUAAUUGAAUGUUUUGAUGAAUAAAAAGGUUAAAUUUUAUUAUGUUUAGAUCAAGAAACGAAGAAAACGGAUUUGGAUCGGGGAAAAACGAAAGUAAUUGAAUAGUCGAUCGUGUCCGCUGAUAUCCGAGGUAAGUCAACUAGCAAUUUAAUGUUAUUAAUUAAUAUAUAUAUGCAUAUAUAUAUCUAUUGCAUUUGGAUGAGCUCAAAUUGAAAGUAUAUAGGUUGAAUUUAGUCAAAGUAUAAAUGAUAUGUAUAUAUAUAAAUAUAUGAUUAAUGUUCGAAUAUACAUAUAUGUAUACACAUAUAUGUAAGCUCUUGAAUUUAGUUGAAGAAUGAAUAUGGCUUAUGUAUAAAUUCUUGGUUAUUAAUCGAAAGGUAUGUAUAGUGUAUGUAUAUAUAUAUAUAAGGUUCGAAUGUAUAUAUAUGUUUUGAAUUUUAUAAGUUAAAAUAAAAUGUAUGAAUUGUAUAUAUAUAUAUAUAUAUAUAUGUGUGUGUGUUAGUAUGUAUAUUUGAGUUUUAUAAGUUAAAAUAAAUUGCACAAAUUCUAUAUAUAUUUAGCCGAAUAUAUAUAUGCUGAGUUUUGUAAGUUGGAUGAAAUUUAAUGAAUUACAUAUAUGUUAGCCGAAUGUAUGUAUUGAAUUCGAUAGGUUGAAAUUAAUCAUAUGAAUUAUAUGUAUGUUAGCCAAUGUAUGCUUUGAGUUCUAUAAUUUGAAGCUUAUAGUAUAAAAAAUAUAUAUAUAUAUAUAUAUAUAAUAACUGAAUGCAUGUAUUGAGUUCUAUGAGUUGAAUUUAAUGAUAUGAACUAUAGAUAUGUUAUUCGAAUGUAUGUUUGCUACGAAGAUUGGAAUAUAAUUCGAUUUUUGCUGAGAUACGAUUAUUGAAAAGAUUUAUAUGAGAUAUAAAGAAUAUCUAGUUUUUCUUAUAAAUAAUUUUGUGAAAGACCAAUUUCAUAUCCGUGGUAUUCAGGCUCGAUGCCUAGCAGAUUUAAUGCCGGUGAAUUAUUUCAGACUUUAUGUCUAGCAGGCUUAAGGUCGGUGAAAGAAUUCAGACUUUAAGUCUAGCAGGCUUAAGGCCGGUGAAAUAAUUCAGACUUUAAGUCUAGCAGGCUAAGUGCCGGUGAUCUGAAUCAGGUUAUAAACCUAGCAGGCUAAGUGCCGGUGAUCUGAAUCAGGCUAUAAGCCUAGCAGGCUAAGUGCCGGUGAAUAUGUUAAAUUAAGUGAUUAUAUGCGUUUGAUAUAUAUAAAUAUAUAAAUGAUUUUGGGUUAUAUAUAAUGGAUAAGUAUAUGACCAUUUAUUUAUAUGUAUUUGAUGAGCAUAUAAAUGUUUGGAUUUAUGUGUUUAGUGAAUAGGCACAUAUAUUGGUUGUUAUGAAAAUUGUUGAAUAUACAUGUAUGCAUUCGGCACAUGUGGAUUACAAGUAUAAAUGUGCAUUUGGUUCAUGUAGUUGAUAAGUAAAAAUAUAAGCUUUUGACAUAUGUAUUUGAAAGAUCAUAGAUAUGCAUUCGAUGAAAUGCAAAUGAUAAGUAUAUUAGAAAUUAGUAUAUGCAAUUAAUGAUUAUGUCUGUAACUUGAUUAUAAGCAUAUAAUGUUUAUAUAUAUGUUCGUUUAUAUGUAUUUUAGAUAUGCUAUAAACUUACUAAGCUAUAAAAGCUUACUUUGAUUGUUUUUGUCCAUUUGUUUUAUAGAUAAAAACCAAGCUGCAGACUUGGGGAUCGUUAGCGAAGAUCAUCACUCUAUCUACUAUCUCGGUAUUAAAACGUUUAAAUUUUAACUUAUGGCAUGUAUAGGCUAAAUAAUAUUUUGGGAGUCGUACUUUAAUGUAUUGUAUAUAUAUAAUUAAUAGCCAUAUGAAACUAGCUUAUUUUUCUUACGGUUUAACUGAACUGAAAUGUUAUGUUUUGUUAUAAAAGGUUAAAGUAAAAUUUAUAAUUAUACUUACUUCAUAUUUGACUAAUUUAACAUAAAUGUAAAAUUUCUGAAUGUCUGUGUUAAGUUGCGUUUUAUCUUGUAACACUUUGUAACCCUAAUUUAUCGACAUAUACAGGUUAGGAGUGUUACAGCUGUUAACCUUUGCCUAAUGGAGGAUUGGGUAUCCGAAGACUUAAGGAACAAAACGAAUCCUUUUUUGCUUAAGUUGGGUGUUAAUCUCCUAACAAAAGAGCAAGCUCUAUGGGUAAGGGUUCUCCGUUCUAAGUACAAGCUCUUGGAGGAAUAUCUUGAAGACAUUUCUCGAAGCAACUGUUCUUUUGUCUGGAAAUCCCUUGCUAAGGUUUGGACACUUUUGCGUCAAAAUAUUCUUUGGACAAUUGGUGAUGGGAAUCGUAUAAAGUUUUGGAUUAACAGUUGGAUAUCUGAGGUGGAGUCGCUUAUAAAUCAUUGUUUGUUUCCCUCUCUGGUUGAUGAUUCUAUUAGGCUCCGUUAGGCUGUGGAUAUGUAGGGCAAUUGGUAUUGGGAGUACUUGUAGUGUUUUUUAAAUGAUGAUAUUCUAUCCUACAUCGAAGGAAUUUCGACUCUGACUACUCUUGCAGGCUGUGUUGAUGUUAUUUCGAGAAUGAGGCUUAUAGCAAGCUUACAAAUAACUCGUUAAAUAUGCAGUAAGCAAAAUGGAAUAUUGUUUGGUCUUUGAAUGUCCCAUAGCGUGUUGGCCAUUUUAUUUGGGUAGUGUUUAAGGGAUGCCUCUUUACGAAUGCGAAAAGGUGUAGGAGAGGACUGUCAGAGAACCCUUCUUGUAAGCUUUGUGGGAAUACCAAAGAAUCCUGUAUUUAUGUUAUAUGAGAUUGUCCUAAGGCAAAAUAAGUGUGGAUUCAGUUUAUUCCCUCAAGAAUCUUAGAUCGGUUUUUCACUUACUCUUUAGAGGAUUGGUUGCCUAUUAACUUGGCAAAUAAGUUUGAGGUUAAUUUUCAGGAUGCAGAUUGGCCAUCAUUGUUUGGGAUUGUUUGUUGGAAAAUUUAGAAACAGGGGAAUGUGUGUAUGUUCCAAGAUGGCCAUUACAACAUAGUCAGUUUGAUUCGUUUUUCAUGGUUGUGGGCUAGGUCCAUUAAGCAAAGACAGAUAAAUUCAAAGAGGAGUAAUGAAAAUCGAAGAAGGAACCAAAGAUGGGCCCCUCCACUUGUCGGUUUAUUUAAAAUAAAUACUGAUGGUGCUUGCAAUUUGAAUUUGAAUUCUACAUGGUUGGCAUCAGUGGCACGAGAUGAGCAUGGUAAUUGGAUGUGGGGAAUAGGAACAAGUAUUAGAAGAUGCGGUGUAGAAGUAUUAGAAGAUGCAGUAUAGAAGUAUUAGAAGAUGCAGUGUUUUACAAGCUAAGCUUUGGGUCAUCUAUGAUGGCCUUCAAUUAGCCUGGGAAGCUAAAUGGGCUAAUAUUAUUAUUGAGAUUGAUAGUGCGCAAGCCAUUAAAGGGGCUUAUGAAGAAGUUCGAGGACAUUCUAAUAGAUAUUUGAUUGUGCGAAUCCAAGAACUAUGCCAGUGUGAUUGGAAAGUACUUUUUAAAUAAGUACCAAGAGAGGUGAACUCGACUACUGAGUGUGAUUUGAAAGUACUCUUUAAAUAAGUACUAAGAGAGGUGAACUGGACUACUGAUAUUUUAGCUGGAUUGAUGAAAUGUUAUCCUAUAGGCUCGAGAAUAUUUCAUGUUGGCCCUUCUCAGGUUGAUGAUCAAUUGCGAAUAGACAGAUGAGUUAUGCUACCUAACACAUAUACUAUUAUUAGCUUGUAAUUAAAGCUUUUAUAUCUUCUCACAAAAAAAAAGACACCAUAGGUUCCUUGUGGCCACCGGCGCGAUCAACUUUGUACCGGCUGUUGUCUGUUUUCCUUAUUUUGCUCUCAGUUUUUCUUUUUAUUUAGUUUAGGCCUUUCUCUUUCUUCAACCUUUGAUCAGUGAUCUAAGAGGCUUUUCUCCAGCCGCCUUGUGGGGUUUCCCUCCUCUUUUGCCUAUGGUGUCAAGCUUGGUACUCUUGGCUUCUCAUUGAAAACCAUGAUCCUUUGUUUGGAUGGUGUCAUUACCACAUUGGCCCCCCUUUAGUUAGAGCUUGGCAUUCACCGGACCUGCCUAUUCGUCUAGUGACUAAGGUCGCUUCAAUUGUUGCAGGUUCUUCUUCAAUCGUAGGCUCCCAACUAGUUCCUCGAUGGUUGACAGUAUUCUUUUGGAUGGUUGUCGUAGCAUGAUCUCCUAACAGAAGAGUUCAUGUCAUCGGCAGGUGCAUCCUCCUUCGCCUCCGGCACUCUUUGGCACUCUCUUUUCCAAUGACGACGAUAGUGUAUAGAGACUAAGGUUUGUGGUCUUGUUAGGGUUGGGCUUUUCAAGCCCAUUUUAAGCUUGUAAUUUCUCUUGACUAAAAUACAAUGAUUAGAUGCUUUAACAAUCUUCUCUUUGCAAUAACUAAAUAAAAACCUUAAGGGUAAAUUCUACUAUUAGCCCUUAUAUUUUGUAAAAGUUAUGAAUUUAGUUCCUAUAAUUUGAUUAACUUUUUAAUCCCUAUACUUUUCAACUUGGUUAAUUUUAAUAAUUUUUUUUAAAAAUUUUGAAAAUUUCGUCCUAACCCAAAACAAUAAUAGGUAACUCUACUUGGUUAAAUUCUAUUACUAGUCUCGUACUAUGUGUACAGUUUUAGUUAUAUUCUACAAUUAAAUUAUAAGUCCCUACACUUUUCAAAAUUUAAAAUUUCAAUCUUAGCACAAAUGAUAAUUAUUAAUCCAUUAACUAAAUUUUUAAUGAGUAAUAUGCUAAAGUAACAAGAUGGCAUGGCAUUACAUAUAUGAUAAUAUGUUUGCCACAUUGAAUUUUGAAAAUAGCAAAACUUAAUAAAUUUGACAAUUGUUUGAUGAGAAUUAAAAUUUUAAAAGUGUAAGGACUAAAAAUGACCAAAUAAAAAUACAAUGAUUAAAUCCCCAACUUUCAUAAAGUACAAGCACUAAUAACAUAAUUUGAUCUACAAAUAUGUCCAUUCAAGAGCUAGCCUUCAUUGCAAUGAAGAAAAUUGUCUUUUUGUCACUAGCUUUUUGUUUAUUUAUUUAUUUUCCAUGGUAUGCAGUUGGUAAAAGUACCAUGGAAGUACUUGUAAGUUGGAUUGUAUUUUAUCUUCUCUACUAAACAAAUUGACAAAUUAAUCCCUAUACGUUAGACUAAAGAGCAAAUUGGUCAUUCUGUUAAGAAAUUUAUCUAUUUUUACUAUUAAAAUUUGAUCCUUGUAUGUCAGCAUGAGUUACAUAUGGCACAUCGCGUGUAAUUAUUUGGUUAUUUCGUCAGUCGCAUCAGUUUUUAACAGUAGAAAUGGAUGAAAAUUUUAACAAAAACGAUCAAUUUGCUCUUUGACAUAACGUAUGAAGAUUAAUUUGUCAUUUUUUUAAGUAAAGAGGACAAAAUACAAUCUAUUUCCUAAUUAGGGGGCCUCUAUGGUACUUUUACCAUAUAUAGUGCAAAUUAACACGUACUGAGUUCCUUGGUUAAACACAAGCUACAUCACAUAACUGAAACAAGACAUGAAAAAAAUUAUAUGACCAAAAUAUCUUUGCUACACAAACUACUUUUAUUUACAGUUUUGAACAAUCCGAGUUCGUGAAAAUCCGUUUUUAAGACCACGAAAAUAAAUUUCUGCUUCCCACUGCAACUGUUUGCACAAAAUCAGGUGAUGGUAGAUAAAAUUAAUACCAACAAAACAGUUGCAGGGAGGCAGAUCUUGAAAGAACAAAUGAAGAUAUGAAUAGUAGAGACCGGCAUUUACACCACACGUUACUCUUGCUAAUGCCAUGGAGAUAUAUAUAUACAUAUAUAUAUCAGCCUUCUUCCCAAUCUAUAUCAUCCUCGUCAUCACCUGCAGAUGCCUCCGCUUCAACAUUCAAAUCAUCGACUUUGUAAUUAUUGGUCGUAUUGCCUGAAACUGUAUGCAGGAAGAUAUUACUAAUGCAAUUUGGCUCCUAAUACGGGGCCUUCAUGAUACUUUUACCCAGUUUUCAUGGUCAUCAAAGAGAAGCUAAGUUAUACUGUGAAUAAAAUGUAAAAAACUAAUACGUACUUGAAAAGGGAUCUUCUUCCCAAUUAAUAUCAUCAUCUUCCUCAUCAUUGUCUUCACGUUUAACUUUCAUGCCAACUUGACGCUUGGUAGAGUCCGAAAGAUCAGUUUCUAAAGACGUAUCUGCCGGUUCUUGUUUUUUGUUUUCCGCUUCUUCUAGUUCUUGUUGUUUCUUAUAUAAAGCAGCAUAAUAUGCUUUAAGAUACUCAUCCUUCCAGUACAACACGAAAGAAAAAAAAAUAAACCGAGUCAAAUUCUAGUAAAACGAAAGAAAAAUGAAUCAAAGAAUAAUCAUACAUCUCAUUACACAUACCUGUAUAUUCUUCUUAUCAUCUUCCUGUACAUUCUUCUUAUCAUCAUUUCCAAUGGUUGACUUUUUGUCGUCUGAAAAAUCCGGUUGUGAUGAACUGUCUUCUGCCUUCGUCUCUUGCUUGACCUCUCCCCGUUGUUCCUUUGUUAGGUUCAUUCCUUGCUUUAUCAUCCAAGGUGGCAAAACUUUCAAUGAUGUGCUUGCACUCUCGGUUUUGACAUCUUCCUUGCUAUCAAGACCAGAAAAAGCAACUUCAACCUGUCAAGAACAGGUAAGAAGCUUUAAUAAUGAUCCAAGUUAACGGUAGAUUAUCCAACAUUCGAAUUUAAGAAAACCCAAAGCUCAAAAUACAUUGUGUGCUCAAUUUCAGGUUUCCAGCAAAUUUGAACCUUGAAAAUUUUGGAAAUGUGACCAGCAAAUACCCGGUUCAGAGUACGUAGAAAAUUAAACUAACAAUAAUUUAUGCAGUUGUAAUAUGCCAAAGUGUAGCAUCAAUACUACAUAAUCGUUAGUACAUCUUUAGCAGUUGCACUUCAUAGUAGACAUAUAGUUGAAGUAAAGCUUACCUUUGUAUCCCCAAGAAAUGGCAUCGGUGUUCCACCAUAACCCUGAGAAUUUUUAUAAGGAUCAUUAGAACCAGCACCGUUUAGAGCAUGACCAGCAGCACCUACUCGAGUUUCCCAUGAUAGGAGGGUUCCAAAUUCUGGAAUAGGCAUAUCUUUUACUCUGUUGAGUUGUUCCAUUAAUGGUUUAAGUUGUACCUGCAAUCAUUCCAUUGUCAACUCUUACGCAUCAACUGGAUAAUGUGUUUCCCAUAUUAAAUCGGCACAAAAGACUAAAUAGAUCAAGUAAAAAUGAAUAUACCUCCAUUUUCUGAAGCAUGUCCUUCAAAUUUUCACGUCGCCGUCGUCUCGCAUUGUCAUCUCCCUCUCCUACUUCUUCUGCUGCUAACUUGUCACUCUCAGCCACUAAUUCUCCGUUACAUCUUUCGCAGUGAAAAGAUUCAUCCUCCAAGGAAAUCAAUCGCAAUGCAUCUAAAGCAUUGUAUCUGAAAACACGAUUACAAAUUGACUAAAAUCAUAUAUGCAUUUCAAAUGACCCGAGCAAAGAAAAAAAGAGGACGAAAGUGAAAGGGCAGUGACAAACCGUUUUGAACAGCCUGGGCAUACAUACUCCUGAACGGUAUUUUUGUCCUCGAGUUCAUCCUUUAGUUUUUUCUUCAUACGGUGCAAUCUAUACCUAACAACAUCAUAUAUCUAGAAAACACAAUGCUUCAGAGAUUUUUCAGAUUCAGAAGCCAAAAUCUGCUCUGCAAAUGAUAAGAUGGAUAAAUGGAAAAAGAGGCCUUAUGACUUCUUAAUCCAAUCCAUUAUGGAGAAAUUGAUAUAUGCUGAUCAGAAUUGGGAAAGUAAAGAAAAAGGAAGAAAUUAAAUAACAACCUGUGCAUAAUCCAGACAACAGUAAGAGUGAGUAUGUAAUUUAACCUUCUCCUCUCCCUCUUUCCCACUUGGUUGACCAUCGACCGUCGCAGCAACUGCAGCAUUAUAUAGUUUUGCCCCUUUAGCCGUCUAUGACCAAAUCAGACAUAGAAAAAGAAAGUGAGCUUCAAGAAUUUGAUAUGCUUAGUUUAUGUUUAUAACAAGACAGUGAUGAUUCAUAACGAAUAUGAAAGAAAAACUCACAUAGAAAACUGAGUGACGACUUAGAAACAUCAGUACAGGGGAAGAGAAAAGAGGACUAUAGCAAGACUCUAACCUCUUUCCUAUAUUCACGGGUGAUUAAUUUUUCUUCCUCAAAGAGCCGUAGAGUCCGCCGAAGUUGCUUUGAAUGUAGUUUCAGCUCCUUUGCCAAGUCUUCUUCCCUAACCCAUUGUCUCCUAUAACAGAAAGCAAAAGUUGUGAAUUACAAUAACAGGCAGCUCAAUCAAGCAGGCACAGUUAGCCUGCAACACAAAACUAUUCUCGAGUAUAUAUAUAUUGGAAUCACUAUUCAUGACAUAACUAAACAUAUCUCUUACCACUAACUGCCUAUGGCACGACUUCUAGUUGAACUUAAAAAACACUUGGCAAACUACUCAGCCUAGUCUAAUUCUUCAGUUUCACCAUAUUAUACCAUAAAUAUAUUCCAAUGCCUCACAUCAAUGUGCUUUCUUUCUAGACAAGAUCACAACAUCAAUGAAAAUUCCCUUCCACAAUUCAAUUUUAAUACAAUAAAAAUGCACCCAACACAUCAUAUUUUCAUUUUAAUAUGCCUUGGUUUCACUUAAAAGGAAAAACUUCAAUGUCAACAAACAAAACCAUCUUUUCCUACUAAAAAAAAAAAAAGAAACCCAUUUUUAGUAGCUUCCAAUAGAUUAAUAAAGAAACAUUUACCUUGUAAGAGCAUCAAGUACUACAACAGCAAUCCCUUUAUUAUCACCACGACCCAUCUUAGGUUGAUUUUCUGCUUUUGUCGUCACAUUAUCAUAAAAUGCUCGAGCUGCAAGCUUCACCAACCUGGGUGUUUUUUUUUUUUUCAAAUAAUUAAAUAGGCAAAUAAUAAUAGCCCAAUUUUCUAAAAUAAUCGUUUUUGCAGUAAAUAAAGAUCAUACCUGUUAAAGGGCUCGAUGCUCAUCUUGUUACGCGAUGGGCAUUAAACAAUCUAAUCGUAAUUACCUUCGAAAAAAAACUUGCAUCAGCUGAUAAAAGAAUAUGGGUUCUCGAUAGCACAGUAAAUGAAAUCGGUUUAUACGAUGAAUAAUUCAAUGAUCGGAGAAAUUACCUGUUAAAAAAGAUAUAGCGAUGGAUGGUUGCAUUGUUUGCGCCAAAAUUUGAUAAAAAGGCAAAACAUGGCCCAAUGUAUGUGCUUAUUAAAUACACCUUGGCUUUGAUCAAAUGUAGGCUUAUAUACGGAUUUGGAUAUUUCUUUUUUCACGAUUUUGCUCAAAGUUAUACGUUUUUUUUUUUCAUUUGGAUAGUUAAUUUAUUAAUUUCUAUCUUAUUCAAUCAUCAAAACUAUUAACGUUAGAUAAUAAUAUAUCACGUGCAGGGGCGAAGUCAGAAUAAUUUUUUAGGGCCGAAUGAAAUUUUAAUUUUUUAUAGUCUAUGUUUUUAUAAUUUUUAAAUGAUUAAAUUAAAUUUUUAUAAUUUUAGGGGGCCAAAAUAUAAUUUUACCUUUAAUAAUUUAAAAUUAAAAAAAUUUAAAGGGCCUAAAUAGUAAUUUUUCAUUUUAGGGGGGCCAGGACCCCUACCGCCCCCUAGAUUUGCCUCUGAUCACGUGUUAUGUUCUUGUAGGCAACUUUUUUAGAUAAACUAGAACAAAAACGAUAGCUCAUAUACCAAAAUGCGACAAAAAAUAUUUAAGUACCAAACUAAGAAAAUAUAUAUAAUUUAAGGGCUUAAGUUGGUUAAAAAUAACUAAAUAAAAUUAUUAUAGAGCUAAAUUUGGUCUAAGUUUUGCUAUUAGUUUCUAUUUACUAAUUUAGUUCAUAUAUUUUAAUUUGGUCAUUUUUAAUUUAUAUAUUUUUUAGUUUUUGAAAUUUUAAUAAUGACUAAAUGAUAAUUGUUAAAUUCAUACAUUAAUUCAUUUCAAACCCGAAACACUAUAAUUUUAAUUUUUUAAUUUUACCAUUUCAACUAAAAUAAUUAUUUGUUAUUAAUAAUUUUUAAUUUAUUAUUUACAUUUUUCAUCCACUGACAAAAUCUAAUAUAUACAUAAUAAUGUAAAUGUUUGAUAGGUAUAAAGGUAUAAUAUUAAAUUUAACUCUCAAUGUUUACAUUUUUUGUCAAUUUGGUUCCUUUUUUUAGUUAAAUUUGGCUAGUAACAUUAAAAAAAGAGUCAAUUUUGACCAUCAACUUUUUAAAAAGAAUUGAAUUUUGUGUUUUUUAAAUGAAAGUACUUAGUAAAACGUUAAAUUUUUAAACAUGACAGCUCGCAUGACAAUUCAUAUGUACUUCUUGUUAUUUUUUGAAUUUUUAUGAAAUUUUUAUAAUUUCUUAUUGAAUUUUAUUUUUUUAAAAUGUUUUUAUAAGUUUUAAAUUAUUUGUUAAUGUGACAUAAAUGACAAAUAGUGCCAUGUUAGUAUGAAGUACACAAGGACUACCACGUGGGUUGCCAUGCCGACGUCAUUAAAAAUAAUAUUUUAGUCAAUAUUUUCAUUAAAAAAAGUUAUUUGACUUUUUUUGAAAGUUUGAGGACCAAAUUUAGCUUAAAAAAUAGAGUUAAAUUGACAAAAGAUAUAGAAUUGAGGGCUAAAUUUGAUAUUAUGCCUAGAUAAAAUAACGUAAAUGUUUGAAAGUAGUUUGAAUAGUUUUGGGCUCCAAUUGGCCCAUUUAAGUUUUAAAAUGUCUUAAAAUUACGUUUUUAGCCCGUUUCUUUACAACCGUCCGAUCAUCCUAGGGUUAACAAGCGCCGUCUAAUAUAAACAAUAUAAAUACACAAACCAUUGUCAUAGAGAAACCCUAAAACAGAGCUAAAGGGUUCGUUUCUCUUUGCGCCUUUCUUCUCUCAGCCGAAGGUUGCUCGUCUUCUUUAAUCUCAUUUCUUUCAAUUUUUGUUUUCAUUUUUGAUUGUUAUAAUUAUUUGAUAUUUUUCCCUUUUAAGCACUGUAAUUGCAGGUAAGUCAUGGUUAAGCAUAACAAUGUCGUGCCAAAUGGGCACUUCAAGAAACACUGGCAGAACUAUGUGAAGACUUGGUUCAAUCAGCCAGCACGAAAGGCUAGAAGAAGAAUUGGUGGGGUUUUCACUUCGUUUUUAAAAAAUAUAUUAUUUUAGUGGUUGAAAUUGUUGUUUAAUGAUGGGGUUUUUGUGGAUUUGCAGCAAGGCAAAAGAAGGCUGUGAGGAUCUUUCCAAGGCCAACUGCUGGACCCCUUCGCCCUAUUGUCCAUGGCCAGACUUUGAAGUAUAACAUGAAGUUGAGAGCUGGAAAGGGUUUCACCCUCGAAGAGCUUAAGGUUUGCUGUUUUAAUUUUUUUAAUACGAUCUUUGGGUUUUGUUUAAAAUGCUUUGAUUUUUAGGUUUAGUGGUUUUGUCCCUCAUUAGCUGGAUAUCACUUGCAUGUAUGUAUUUGUGGAUUGGAUUGAUAAGUAUUAGAGAACGAUAAAUCUUGUUUUAACUGUUAACACUAAUUUCGUUUGAUUGAUUAAUAUUAGAGAACGAUAAAUUGAAGAAGUUUGUGUAGAAGAUGUGUUGUAUAAUGUGUAAUUUCAACCCCGAUUUAGUACAUAUGGGCUUGUAUUGAAUACCUAUAUGUAUCUAAUGAAUAGAUUUAUGAUAAAUCUCAUUUUAAUUUUUGACACUAAUUUCAAUUGAUUGAAUAGUUUUAGAGAAUGAUGAAUAAUGGUUUGUGUAGAAGAUAUGUUGUAUAUGUUGAAUUUUGACUUUGAUUUAUGGUUUGUAUGUGCUUGUAUUGAAUCUGAUACUCACCUAAUUCUCUGACCAGGCUGCUGGUAUUUCAAAGAAACUUGCACCGACCAUUGGUAUCGCUGUUGAUCACCGCCGUAAGAACAAAUCACUUGAAGGUCUUCAAGCCAAUGUUCAGAGGCUUAAGACCUACAAGGCCAAACUUGUUGUCUUCCCAAGGCGUGCUCGCAAGUUCAAGGUAAAUUUUAAUCAGCCUGUAUUUGCAUUUCAAAACAUUCAAUCCUUGUUUUGUAUUUUCAAUAUCGUGUUCUUGUUCCUAUAGGCUGGUGAUUCACCUGCCGAGGAGCUCGCAACUGCAACCCAAGUCCAAGGACCAUACAUGCCUAUUUCUCGUGAGAAGCCUUCCGUUGAGCUCGUGAAGGUCACCGACGACAUGAAAUCAUUCAAGGCAUACAACAAGCUCCGUGUUGAACGUACGAAUGAACGUCAUAUUGGUGCUAGGUUGAAGAAGGCUGCCGAGGCCGAGAAGGAAGACAAGAAGUAAGGUUACCCUUUUGGGGACAGUGUUUUGUUAUUUGGCUUGCUAAAAAGACCUUAAAUUUUGUUUUCAUUUUGUCAAGUGAACUGAGACAGCUUUAGAAAACUUUGGUAUUAUGACAGUAAUCCAUUUUGUUGAGCAUUUUAUUAAAUUGAGAAGUUUCUUGCAAUUAGGCUUUGUGGUAUUGGCAUUAUGAAGAAGUGUUGCUAAUGGUUAAUUGCUUUGUUUUUCAAUGUUGAUUGAAUCGGUUGGAUUGAGAAGUAACUAGUUGCGGUACUGGUUCGGAAAGUGACUUUGAAUUGAUUAGAUCGUGAACUAGUGUGGACCGGUUGAACCAGUUAAAAAACCUUAAAUUUUAAUAAAUUUUAAUGAUAUAGUAUAUACCUUUGAAUAUUCAAGCCUGAGUUUCUUUCUUAUUUCAACUAGUUUUAAGUUUUUUUCAUUUUGAUAUUAAAAUAUUUUCCGAAUUCGUUAUACGGAUUAUAGAUUUCUUAAUUUAAUAUUUCCAUUUAAAUCCUUCCAAAUAUUCGAUAAAUUUAUGGUUCGACCGUUGCAUCUAAUUUGAACUUAAGCAUGAUUACGUAUUGAAAGACCCGAACUUUCAAGUCUUGAAAUUAGAAGGCGUUGGUGGUGUAGCAUUUUCGCUCGUUAAUGCCCUAAUGCUCUCUAAACUUUAGUCUUUUGAGAUUUUCGACAAAAACUAUCUAUUAUUAAAGAAUUCAUCGGUCUCGAGUAGACGAAAAUUGAAAGAACAAAAAAUCUCACCAAAACUAAAGAAGGAUCUCCCAUAUUCUACAACCCAUAAUUCUUCAGAAACAUUGAAACCCUUUUUUACUCUAGUCUCUUCAUGUUUUCUGGGAUUCUAACAUCAAAGAAUAUCAAAAAAACAUAUUCUCCAGACUUUGAGUAGAAAUCAAGCAAAACAAAAGUGCAAUAAACGUAGAAAACCCCCCCUUAUUUUCCUCCAUUUCCAAGCAAGCAUAUAUUCUAAAUUAAAAACAAAAUUCUCACCAUUUUAUUACAUCGUUAGCUUUGAAUCUUCUUUUAGUUCCCCUCUAAUUUCAAUUAUAUUUAUACCCCAAAGUGCUGCUCAUCUCAGUGCUCUAUCAAACUUCUUCUCCUUCUUGCUUACAGCCAUGGACUCAAUGACUCACUGUUCAAAUUUAUUCAACUCAGUCCUCUUCAUUUCCAUUUUAGCCACCAUUUUCAGUCAUUGUGGUACGUAAAAUUAUAUCUAAUUUAUGCUUAUUUAUAUGUUUUGUUAUUAAAAAACCAGUUCUUUUUGUCUGUGUUUUAGGGUGGUUGUACCUGAAAGGUCCCUGAAUUAUAGGGACUAGGUUAAAUUAGUCCUACUAUUAUCAAAUAGAUCAUUUUAGUCUGUGUACUAUAAAAAAGAAUUAAACAAUGUCAAAUUGGAAUAGAGUUAACAAUUAUUGUUUAAAAAAAAUAUCAUUUGUUGUUUAAUAGAGUUAAUAUUUUUGAAUUUUUUAUCUUUCUGUAAAUGAAAUUUUUUAUUUGAAAUUGAUCUAUUGAAAAGAAUCAAUUUUAAGAUAUUUUUUUACACAAUAAAUGUUAACUUGUUACAAUUCAGAUUCUAAAAGUACUAUGGAGGCCCUGAAUUAGAAGUCAAAUUGCUUUUACCCCUCUUUUAAAAAUGGCCAAAUUAGUCUCUGUACAUUAGAUCAAAGAGCAAAAUGGUCCUUCUGUUAAAAGUUCCUUCUAUUUCUACUAUUAAAAAUUGAUCUUUGUACAUAGGUACACAUAGCAUACCACGUGUCAUUGGAUGAUUAUUCCAUUAGCCACGUUAGAUUUUAAUAGUACAAAUUGAUGAAAUUUUUAACAAAAAAAAUUAGUUUGCUCUUUGGUCUAACAUAUUAGGGCUAAUUUGAGUAAAUAGGGCAAAAUGCAAUCUGACUCAUAGAACAGGGCGUCCAUGGUACUUUUACCCCAUUUAGACUUAUUUGAUUUUUUUAAUAGUAUAAGGAAUAAAUUCAUCCAUUUAAUAAUAAAGAGAUUAAUUUGAUCUUUUCCCUAUAAUACAGGGACUUCCCAGGUAGUUUAACCCUUUGUUUUAUGUACAGAUGCCAGAUUUAUGUUCCAUAUGUGGAACCAAAAGGGCUCAAAUCACCAUGAAAGUCCAAUUAACAAGCAAAAAUUAACCAGUCAUUUCGUCUCCAAUGUUGAUCCGUACACCAUCAACUCACCUUUAUAUCUCCCUCCUUUCGACUCACUGUCACCACUUCCUCAACCUGGGGGCUCUCCGUUCACUCCAUGUCCACCGCCUCCGCCGUCUAGUCACAGCCACGGUUCAUCAGCUAAUCCACCUAGUAUUUUUUUCUCAAGUCCCCCACAACACCAACCUACCCCACCAGAACAUGGUUUGACUCCAAGACCCAUUUACGGACCCCCAAAGCUGAACCCACCGUCGUCUUUAGUUCCACCGCCUAAAUCGUCACGUUCCGGCGGCGGCGUUUGGUGUGUGGCUAAACCUACGGUGCCGGACUCGAUCAUCCAAGCGGCUAUGGAUUAUGCAUGUGGGUCUGGUGGGAAUUGUAAAGCGAUUCAACCCAAUGAGCCGUGUUUUCAACCCAAUACGUUGAUAUCACAUGCUUCGUUUGCUUUUAAUAGCUAUUGGUUGAACACAAAGGGGAAUGGUGGUACCUGUGAUUUUGGUGGUACUGCCAUGCUUGUUACAGUCGAUCCUAGUAAGUCUCUUCUUUUAGACAUAAUGAGCUCAUAAUGUUUAAAUUUUUAUCAAUUUGAUCCUUUUUAGCUAAAUUUAGUCGUUACUUAGGUGACUCAUAAUUUUUUUUAAGAGGGUACAGAAUUAAAUUAUAACUUUUGUGUGAGGUUAAAGGGAUGAAAUCACUUUUGAAAAAGACUAAUUAAAAUUUAUUUAUUUUUUGGGAAUAAAGUGCAAUUUCACUAUAUAAUAACUUUUAAUUCUAUAAUUUAUUAAGGGACUAAAAGUUUUUUUUUUUCAUUUGAGAGGCUAAGGCCUAGCCUGCCCUCUCCAAAUUCUCUUUCGGCCUUCAACCUUUUAAAAAGAGUCAAAUUAUUUUUUUACAUGACAAUUUAUAUGUACUUUAUGCAUUUUUUUUAAUUUUUAUGAACAUUUUAUAUUCUUUUUGGAAUUUGGAAUUUUUUAUUAUUUUAAAGAUAUUUAUAAUUUUAAAAUUCUUUAUCCAUUUAGUAUAUAAGAUAAAUAGUGACAUGUUAACACGAAGCAUACAUAAAAUAUCACACCAACAUUGUUAAAGAAUUACUGCUUUAAUUAGCAUUUUGUUAAUGAGUCAUUAUACCUUUUUUUUUAACUGUAUUUUGGACAAGAAAACAUAAAUGUAACUGUAUUAACGGUUUCUUUGUUUGUAAUGAAAAUGCGACAGGUUUCAAUAAAUGCAAGUUUGGCCAUGCUUGAUCCAGGGAAUUAUGAAGUAUAGGCUUAUAUAAAUUUAUAAAGGUAAUUUAGUAUAAAAGGAUAGAAAAUAAUGUGGAGUAGAUUUAUUCUACAUAGAUGAUCAAAUUGCAGCAAUUAGCAAUGUUCUUUAUUAUCAGCAUUGUACAAAUUUUUAUCAGAGAAUUGGAUGAGUGCUUUAACAGUUCAAAAAAAUUAUAUAUAAAUAAAUAACAAUAUUGGUACAAACACUUUUCAAAUUCCAUAAUAUUCAUCCAAAUUAUAAGUAUUUGUAAGUUAAUAUAUGUGUUUAAGCUGUUUGAUGAGAAACUAUGAUUUUUAUCUUAAUCUUAAUUUAAGGGGGUAUAAUAAAAAUUAAUCCUAUUUUUUUAUGCUGCCAUGCAAUUCGGUGCAUGGAAUGAACCGACAUAUUUUCCAACACAUAUAAGUCCCAAAAAGUCAAUGUAAUUUCAAUCGGUUUGUCGUUCCUUAUUCGACAAACUCUCAAUUUUAAUUUUUUUUCGCCUUAAAUUAUUUUUUGGGAUCAAAACUUAGUAAUAAUUUUAAUUUUGAGAUUUGAAAUCUUUAUUUAUUCAAUUUAGUCUUUGAACUUGAUAACUGUUUUUAUAUUAGGGCUUGAACUGGCAAUUAUUCCUACAUAAGGGUUUGAGCCUUUUUUUAACCAAAGUCCUUAAACUUGACAAUUAUUCUCAUAUUAGAGCUUGAAUUUUAGGGUUUUCAAGAAAAUAUCAUGGACAAAGUUUAGACCCCAUUGUGAGAGCAAUUACUAAGUUUAGAGACUAAUUAGGCCUAAAAAAAGUUCAGACUCUAAUGUAAAAAAUAAUUACCAAGUCCAAAGAUUAAUUUGUAUAAAGAAAAAUUUAGACCUUAACAUGUUAGUGAUGGCUAUAAAUAAGAGAAUGCCAAUGCCCAUACAAUAAAACCAAAUUCAAUCCACUUUUAUUUUCUAAAACCAUUGGAAUUUAGAUUGAGCCACAUAGAUUGUUGAAGGUAGGGUGAAAGUGACAUUGAAAAAGGAAUAUAUAUAAUGUGCUAAAAUUAUGUAACUACGUGGUGGGGUUACUCAUUAUCUUUAAUUUUGACUCUUAAUUUCGAUUGUCGCAUUUACGACAAUUCACCAUCAACCUUUUGAUUAUUUUAAUUUAACCUAUUCCACUUGUCAUCUUUUUGUACAAUCUUGUGUAUUACUCCUUUGAUUGUGUUAAUUUUUAAAUUUUUUAAUAAAUUUUAGUUUAAUGUUUAAUUUAAUUUAUGAAUUUUGAUUUAGGGUAGAGAUAUAUAUGAAAUUUUUAUUUUGAUUCAAUUUUAUAUAUUUAAAUGGAAUUAUUUUCAUAUUGGAUUAAUAUAUAUAAAUAUAAAAUUAUGUUAAUUCGAUAAUGAUGUUAUUGAUUUUGUGAAAUUUUAUUUAUGAAAUCACAUAAAAACAAAAUUCAUGCAUGAUAUUGUACACAUGUAUAGUUUUGAUGUUUGUCCCGACUUGAAUUAAUCAAAGAUUGCUUUUGUCUCUUGAUUUAAAGUUUUUUUUUUCUUUAAAUAGAUUUUUAUCUUGUAUUGAUUGUAUUUGUCUUUAAGCUUUGUUUUGACUUUCUUUUUAAGAAAUUAAAAUAUGUUUUAUGUUUAUGUAUUUUUUUUUUGUGCAUUUGAAUUUAGUCUUUCUACUUAUAUUUUAAAGAAUGGUUAAAAUAUUCCUCAAAUUUUUGUAUUUUCUAUGCAUGUGAAAUUUAGUCUCUUUACAUUUAUUUCAAGGUGUUUAGUCCAUUUAAAAUUGUAAGUCCAAUUAUCAACACCGUAAAAUUUCUUUUGUUAAAUUCAGGUUAUAACAAUAUUUUUUAUUACAUGGUUACCAAAUGAAUUUUUUUAUUUAAAAAAAACGCCAAUAAAUUUAACAGAAGAUUUUUAACUAUGUUUGAAAAUUGAACAUAAAUUUUGAAAUAUAAAAAAAUAGGACUAAAUUACAAUUGAACCUUCAGAAUUCCGUCUCCGUCUCCUAUUUUAUAAAUUUUAAAUUUUAAAUCCAACGGUUAAUAGUAUUAAAAAUAUCUAUUAAACUUAGUCCAAUGGUAUUCUAAAUUUUUUUUUAAAAAAAUAUCUCAUUUGAUAGUCAUGUAAUAAAAAAUUAUAUAAUAAAUUUAAAUUUAACAUAAAGAUUUAAUAAUAUAAACAAUUAAAUUUAUAUUUUUAAAUUAAAAAAUUUAAAUUUAUUAAAAUAAAAAUAAAGUAAGUAAAUUCCAUAUGAUAAAUAUAAAAAGAAAAUAAAUAUCUGUUAGUCCUUGAUAUUGAGUAUUGACAAGUUGAAGCAUUGUUUAAGACACAUGUUCGGUUUGAAAUUGUUAAUUAAUUAUAUAUAUAUAUAUAUAUAUGAAUUUUAAAGCAUAGUGAUAAUAAUUGCUCAAAUAUAGAGUACUGUAAUUUGUACAUAUCUUACCGACAAUGCUGCCUCCCUCACAGCUCUUAUUCAAGAAUCUGCUAUCGUUUUCAAGUUUAGGGUUUAGUGCAGUAAAAGAUAUCUGAUAUAAAUAUUUUUAUUUUUAAAAUUUGAUUUAAUAUAAUAUUUAGCAUUUAAAUUUUAAUUCGAUAUAUACAUUUUGGAUUUAAUUUGUUAUUUAAAUUUGAUAUUUUUUUCAAUUUAACACCUUUUGGGAAAGGUCGAGAAACAUAAUUAUUCUCCAUGUAACUCUUGAAAGUUUUUUUAUCUAUAAUUAUUAAUAAAGCAUUUCAUUAAAAUGAUUUCUCGAAUUGAUUGGACAUAAACUCUAUCGAGGGAAGUCUAAAAAAUUAUUUAUUUUAAAAGAAUAAUAAAUAUUAUUUUGUGGGUAUUUAUUGCUUAUAAUUGUUUAUAGGGUAAAUUGCAUUUAAGAAUACUAAAUUAUUAAUAAAUUUACGUUUUGGUCAUUCAACUUUAAAAUGGUCGUUGAAUUAUUUGAAAGUUUUCGCUUAAAUCAUUGAACUAUUAUAAAGUUUUUAUUUAAGUCAUGGGUUAUGAAGUUUUUUUUUUUUUAAAAUCCUGCUAGCAAGCUCCAAGCGACAAUUUGACAAUUAGUACGGUGGGUCGAUACCCAUCGACGAGUAAAAGAACAUACAUUAGAUCCAAGUUGAUUUAAUGAUCAGUGUCAAAAAUCAGAAAAGAAAGUGGUUUAGAUUUUAGUUCGCGGGUUCAUAAAAUUUAAAGUUGUUUCAUGAUAAAGAAAAACUAAACUGAAGAAGGGGAAUGAGAGCUUUCAGUUGAUGCAGGUAAUACAAAUAAUCACCAUUUUAAAUAGUUAAUAACUUAAAUAAAUUUUUUUGAAUAUUUCAAUAAUAUUUUUUGACUUUUUAAAAUUAAAUGCUUACCUUAUUUAUACUACAAAAUCUUUAAUAAAAUCUCAAACAUUACCCUCUUCUUUUAGAAAAAAAACACCAAAAUACUUACAAAGUUCUACACCACCUAACUUUUCUUGAACUUGACUAUUAAUCUACUUACAAAGUAGAUUGUAUUUUAUAUUUUUACUUAAAAAUAGAAAAAUUAAUUAUUGUAUGUUAGAUUAGAAAAUAAACUGAUUAUUUUUGUUAAAAAUUUCACUCAUUCUUACGGUUAAAAAUUGACGAAAUAACUAGAUAGUUAUAUGUGAUGUACCAUGCCUUGUACACCUCAUUCUAACGUAUAUUGAUAAAUUCUUAACAAUAAAAAUAGAUGAAAUUUUUAACAGAAUGUCCAAUUUACUUCUUAAUUUAACAUAUAUGAACUAAUUUACUCAUAUUUUGAAUAGAGACAAUAAAAUUUAAUCAGACUCUUAAUAUAAAGACUUUUACAGAGUUGAUUGUGGCAUAGAUACUAUUAGGGUUCGAGUGUGAUGGAAUAUAUUUACGUUUUAUUUAAGAAUUAAGGAGGUGGUAUGAAUAAUUGUAGAUAAUGAAAUAAUGAGAACAUAUAAUCUAUAGUAGUUUUACGGAUGUAGGGGUAGUACAAACUCUUAAAACAAAUGUGAAUUCGAUUUUCUCUUAUCCAAACCUUCACUGGCUUAUUUAAUAAAAAAACAGAAAAGAAAAUCGGGGGUGAGAUCUGUCGUAUUGUAAAAGUUAAAAUGUAGAAAGAAAAUGGGUGGGUCACAACUCACAAGCAAGCAAAAGCAUCUCCUUUAAAGCCAAGUUUCAAGUCACGGGCUCGACAGUUCACUACAUGUUAAAAUUGGACUCUCUCUACCCCGCAUUACCUCGAAACUCUGAAAAAUUCAUCCCAAAACCCGUGUUUUUGCACUAAUAAUUAAUCAUAUUUUCCUUUCUUACCCCUCUUUGGUUUAUUUACCAUCAACCACAUCAAGGUUGAGUUGUUUUUGCAAGCGGUAAAAUCAUUAGGAAGGCUAUUGUAUUAAAAAAUAAAUUAUAUUUUUAUUAAAAAUUUUAUCUAUUUAUAAUAUAAAGAAUGAGUGGAAAUGAUAAAAUGUGAUACGACGUCGGGGUUUUUCGGAAGGCGGAUAUUUUGGUUAAAGUCAAUGAAAGAUGCCAAAGGGUCUAAUAAAUUAAUAGGAAAAAGACAUUUUGAUAAUUGAUGUUUUGUGGCUUCCAUUUGCAUGAAUGUUGAGUAUAAAAACAUGGAACGAGUGAAGUAUGAAACCAAGCUCCCUAAGCUAAGAUAUGGGGAUGCAUAGUUUACCCUAUCUAAUUGUGUUGUUUUUGAAUUUAGGAGCAUUGCUCACUUCACUAGGCUGCCCUGAAUGUUACCACCACCCAUCUCGGCCGCCGAAAUGUCCUCCGCCACACUAUCCGCCUAAACAUCAUCAUCCUCCCAUUGUUAAGCCACCCUAUCACCCUAAACCACCAAAACAUCAUCCUCCAAAGCCACCUAAGCCUCCCGCGGUAAACCCACCAUAUCACCCUAAACCACCGAAGCCACCGGUGGUGAAGCCACCGUAUCACCCUAAACCACCUAAGCCUCCGGUGGUGAAACCCCCAUAUCACCCUAAGCCACCAAAACAUCCCCCGCAUCCUCCCAAGCCACCUGUUGUAAAGCCUCCCUAUGUACCUAAGCCACCUAUUGUAAAGCCUCCACCGUAUACACCCAAACCACCGGUUGUGAAGCCUCCGCCAUAUACACCCAAACCGCCGGUUGUGAAGCCUCCGCCAUAUACACCCAAACCGCCGGUUGUGAAGCCUCCGCCAUAUGCACCCAAACCGCCGGUUGUGAAGCCUCCGCCAUAUGCACCCAAACCGCCGGUUGUGAAGCCUCCGCCAUAUGCACCCAAACCGCCGGUUGUGAAGCCUCCACCAUAUACACCCAAGCCACCUUACUAUCCAAUACCGCCGGUCAUAUCACCACCAACACUGCCUCCAAAGCCACCAGUCUACCCCAGUCCACCAAUAGUGAACCCUCCACCAUAUACACCCAAACCGCCGGUUGUGAAGCCUCCGCCAUAUACACCCAAGCCACCUUACUAUCCAAUACCGCCGGUCAUAUCACCACCAACACUGCCUCCAAAGCCACCAGUCUACCCCAGUCCACCAAUAGUGAACCCACCAACACCGCCGAUUCUACCACCACCAUUACCACCUAUUGUGAACCCACCAACGCCUCCUAUCGUGAAGCCACCUUCACCGGGAACACCGUGUCCUCCACCACCACCUCCGGCACAACAAACAUGCCCCAUAGACACUCUCAAGCUAGGUGCAUGUGUGGACGUGUUGGGUGGCUUAGUACACAUCGGCAUAGGUAGCAGCGCCAAAGACACUUGCUGCCCUGUACUACAAGGGCUGUUGGAUUUAGACGCUGCCAUUUGUCUCUGUACUACGAUCAAAGCCAAACUUUUGAAUAUCAACAUUAUAAUCCCCAUAGCUCUUCAGGUCCUCAUCGACUGUGGCAAAACUCCACCUCCAGGGUUCCAAUGUCCAGCACAAUGAUGAAAAACAUAAAAACCCCAUGUUUUUUUUCUUUCGAAGUAACAAAUAUUUUAAUGUCUUAUUAUAUGUUUCUUUUAAUAAUUUAUGGUGUUUUGCUGGUUGAUGAAGAUCAUAAAGACGUGUCUGAGGUUAGAUUAUUUUAAUAGAUGUCGAUGAAUCCACGAACGAAUCAAUGUAGUACGAUGUUGUGAUUUUAGUUAGUUCAUAGGAUCAUAUUAAUUGUGUGUGUGUGUGUGUUAUUUUUCUUAUUUCAAAGCUAAGCUUGUUUUGUAUGAACUUCGCUUUAUUUUUAUUUUUAUUUUUUUUAUUUUUAUUUUGUAUAAUUUAUACUACACUCCAAUAAUUCUCCAACUUUUAAAUAACUCAAAUCAUUCUAAUUGUCAGUAUAUCAUUAAUUUAUUUUGGUAUUGGAAAAAGGAAGAGGUAAAAUCACAUGCAUGCAUAAAUCAUCAUCAAUCGUACUCAGUCCAUAGUCAUACUCAUUUUUAUUUGUCCCCACUUACAUCCUCGUGGGCCAGCAUUUGAUUCUUAGGGCAAAUUAUACCUAAUGUAUUUUUAAGUGUCGGUGAUUUAAUUUUAAAAAUUAUAAAAUAAUUAUUGAAUCAUUCAAUAAUUAUUGGGUUAUAUAUAAUCCGUUGUUAUAUGUUUUUUUUUCGGACCACUUGUGUCAAUUGAAAGUUCUUUUUGUCCUUUUCUUCUACCAUUUAGUUUUUUUAUAAAAUAAUUUUGAACGUCAUAAAUCUACAAACUAAAUUCAAAUCAGCUUUUUUCUUCGAUCUUUAACACUAAUCGCCAUAUCAACUUAGAUCUAAGAUAUAUUCUUCUAUUUGUUAAUGGGAAUUGAUCCAUCACACAGGUCGUCUAAUAAUCGCUUGGAGCUCACUAAUAGGACUUUAAAAAAAAACUUAGCAACCAACGACUUAAAUAAAAACAUUCAAAUAGUUUAGUGACCAAAGCAUAAACUUACUGAUAUUUUAAUGAUCUUGGGUGUAGUUUACCCUUUUUAUACUUUGUAUUUGUUUUGCUGAUGUUUGAAGCUUGUGGCUGUGAUUCACAAUAAAGUUGUCUUUAAAGUUUGAACCUACGUUUUUCUCUAAAAAUGCAACGUGCUUUAUCAUUGUACCCCAAACCUUAUAAGUUACUAUUCUCAAUUUUUUAUAAAUUCAUUAUUUUUAAUAUACAUUUUUAGUAAGGGAAAAGGGAUACGAUAGUUUUGAAAUUGAAUCUAAAUCUAAUAUUAACCGGUUAUUUGAACACAAUUUUUAUCACUUCAAGUAUAAUUAGCCGACUUAAUAGAUAUAUUUUUCUACCAAAUCAAGUUACAAAUGGAGAAAGGAAAAUUAUAUCAACAGAAUCGGAACGUCAAUAAGAGACUUCAUCUAUUAAUUGCUCCCUUACGCUGUUAACAACUCAACAAGUGAGUCUACACGGUAGCUCCUGUAGAGCCGGAUAAGAUGGGUAGCAAUGUUUUUAGAAUUGAACCAGUGAUCGAAACAAUCGAGCCACUGAUUUUUAGUUCGACCGGUUUGCUCGGUUUUUAUUAAAUAAAUUAUUAAAAAUUCAUAAAAAAUAUAAAAUACGGUCCAAUCGUCGAUUCAAUUGAUAUUUUUAGCUUAGUUAAAUUGUUUUGUAUUAAUUUAUAAAUGAAUCAAUUUUUUACCUUAUUCCAUACUAAUAUACCAAUCGAUUUCUAAUUUAAUGAUUGACUUGAUCUAAUUUCAACUACCUUGAGCUUGGUGAGUAGUAUUAUUCAGAUUGGGCUAAUACUAAAACCACCCAUUAAUUUUCAGACCCAAAAUUUCAGAAUUGGCCUAUCUUUGUAAGACAAAAAUAGACAAGGCUGAACAUGAUUUAUAUUUAAUUCCUAAAAAGGUGUAAAAGAAUAUUUAAGGUAAGUUCCAUAGGACCCAUAUUAUAAUAUCUCUUUAUUAUAUUGAAUCUAUUUUUACAUGCUCAGUUUCUUUUGUAACAAAACCAUGAUUAUAUUUUUAUUUUCAUAAUAAAGAAAUCAAAUUCAAGUAAUUGUUUUGGUAAAAAAAAAUCUUUUUAGUUUCUUUUAAUUUUUAUAUUGAGUCAAAAAAAUAGAAAUAAUUUAAUUUCUAUCAACUUUAAAGGUGACUAAUUAAGGAUAAAUAAUCACGCCGUUAAAUUUUUUCGUCAAUUGUACAUAAUUGUUAUUAGUAUAAUAAUAAAUUUAGCUCUCAAAAUUUAUAUAUUUUGUCAAAUUGAUUCUGAUUUAGCAAAAUGAGUAACACCAUGUUUGCCAAUACACCCCUAAUCGGUGGCCCCACAUAAUCUCCCUUAUUCCUAUGUUUGGUUCAUGGUAUUGCUAAUACCAUUGUAAUACAUUACUGAUCUAAUCGGUGAAAUUCACCGAUUUGUAAUCCGUCCCUUUUGCCCAGAUUAGGCGCCGCUUCAGUUUCCCUUUCCUGUUUUACCCUCCCACCGGCUUCCCCUUUGUUUCUCUUCUGUUCCUUCUAGCCUCUGCCGAUUUGCUCCCUCCCAUCGAUUUCAUUUGUCAGGUAAAAUCCCCAUAUUUUGCCUAUUAUUAUAUCCCCUUUAUUUGCAUUCUUGCCUGUUGAUUUCUCUGUUCUAUUUUUCUUUCUUUACACCUAAGUUCGUCGGCAGUCGUUCUUCAAGACACACUCCGUUGGAGCUGCUUAGAAGCUAGUAGUAUUGUUGUAAGCUUAGUUCAUCUCUUUCUUUGCCGUGUUUCAUUUUUAGACUGCAACUUUCUCUUCUUUCCCCCUCUCUUGUAAGUUAAGCAGAUUUUAUGUUGCUAUAGUGAUUUGGUUUUUCUUUUUCUGUUUUAAUCUUUUUUCCAGAAAGAAAUGUUACUUUUGAUGAAUUGGGUAUCGAUAUUUCUAUGGUUUUUUGCUCUUUUUUGUCCAAAAGAAGUUGCUUUUUCAACCGAGGAUUGCAUUUAGGUAAGCAAUUCUCUUGCCCAAAUAGUGAAGACAUUGUAUUCAGAGCGAUUUGUGUUAAUUUAAAGCAUAGAAGAUGGAAAUUCUUGGAUCAAGUGUUCCCAAGUCUUACAAAUGCAUUGGUGAGUCGUGUUGUUGGCGAGUUUCAGAACUCACCUCAGUUAGCCUUGGAAUUUUACGAUUGGUUUGGGGAGAAAAACAGUUUUAGGAAAAGAUGAUGUUAUGAUGAUUGUUUCUGUUUUGUUUAUAAGUUGGAUAUGCAUUCAGGGGCCUGCAAGUUCUUGAAUUGACUUGUUCUUUCCUUUCUCAUUACCUAGAGCCCUAAAUCUCAUAGGUUCAAAGGAGUAGACAUUUGACAGUUAAAAGCUCUUGCAAUACUGAUCUAGGAAGAUGAUGGAUCAUUUCGGUUCUGAUGCAAGAUGUUUCGACCUGAUGCAAGAUGUUUCGAAAUCUCAAUGUUUGUUUCAUUUCUCUUUUCAAUUCCAACAUUGCAAUGUGUUUUUCUCGUCUUUGUUUGCCUAAUAAAGCAGGUACCUUUUUGUUAAAUGUUUUCUUGAUCUGUUGGCCAAGAGUUUGUGCUAAGAUUUACAUUUCAACUUUAGGUAUUAUUCUUAUUUAUGCUGUGGAGACUCGUAUCUAUAUAUAAACUAAACUAUGGAACCACUUCUGAGUAAUUUGCAAAUAAUGAAUGAAUCAGCUUCUCAAGCUAGUAUUAAGCUGUGUCACUUUCAUCUGCGCAUAAUGUGAUGGUUUGAUAGUUGAAAUUAUGGAUGAUCUGAAUCUAGCUGUAGGUGAUUAAAUAUAUGAUCACCAAAGUAGUGGCAUCCAUCUAAAGUAGUUUUCUACCUUCUUGGGAUGAGUUCAGUUAAGUCUAUAUCAUCAUCCUCGCCUUGGCAUAUUGCAUUCAUUUUAGCUAUAGAGUAAUUUGCACAAUUGGUGAUUAUCGUUUGACAUUUCUCAAUCUUCUAUACUGGCCUAGUAGUCAUUCUUCUCUCCUAACCUUUCUCAUAUGUGAUCAACUGUACUGUUUUAUUGCAGGCGCAGUCUCCUAACUACAAUGCUACCCUGAAACAAAUUUUCCCCAAUAUUCAGCAAAUCGAUUCUGAGGUAUUUGCUUAGAAAUUUUGGUAGGUUCUAGACUGUUGUAGUUGAAUGUUCAUAAAUUUGCAAUCACGCGUGUAGUAUGCUAACGGUAAACAUCUCCAGUCUCUUGUUGUCUGGAGCUUGUGAGUUUGCAUAUGUUGCUAGGGGAAAACAGGGUUCUGGAAGUGAUCCCUAAUUCUUUGAAGGGGAUUAACCAUGAUAUGUUUAUUUAUUAAAUGCAGUGUUGUUAAUCAUUGUUUUGAACAUUCUUAAUCUCUUGAAUUGUUGACCUGUUUCCAACUUUUUAAUAAUAUUUCAAGCUCUCUUGUAAACAAUAAUGUAUGGCUUUCUAUGUUGUGGGUCAGUCCAGAAAUUCACAUAAGAUGCAUGGUCAUUUGUUAAAGAAGAAAUGCAAAUCCAAAUUUUCAUUUAUAAUUGUUGUACUAACCACAUUUUACUCAUCAUUUUAGUAAUGGCUUCCAUUUAAGGCACUGUAACAAUGUACUAAAAUUACUUGUAAUUCCAAUGCCAGGAGAUAUAAUCAAUAUCACACAUUGCUCUAGCUCUAAGCAGCUCAAAGAUGCAAGAUGAAGUUCUAGAGAAGUUCAUAAACGCCACAAUAAAUCUCCGCACCUUUUUUAAGUAACUAUCAACGAACAGAAAGGGAAAUGAGAAGAAGCAACUAUCCUCUAUAGAUUAUACCAUUUCAUGAAAUAGAUGAUCAUGGGACAAGAAAUCGACCAAAUAUAAAAUAACAGAGAAAUAUGAUUAUUUAAAAGUAUACAAGGGAAAAUUAUAUAUUUAAUAUUAAGAAUUUUAUUUAAAAGUAUGAUUAUUUAAAAGUAUACAAGGGAAAAUAACAGAGAAAUAUGAUUAUUUAAAAGUAUUCAUUUAAGAAUAUUUAAUAUUAAGAAUUUUAUUAAAUUAUAUAUUUUUAUUAAAUUAUAUUUAAUAAUAAUUAUUUUAAAUUAUAUUUUAUAGUAUUAUAUAUUAUGAUUUUAUUAAAUUCAUAUAAGAAUAUUUAAUAUUAAGAUUUUUAUUAAAUUAUAUUUAAUAAUAAUUAUGUUAAAAUAUGAUUAAAUUAUUUAUUAUUUAUAUUAAUAAUCUUAUUAAAAUUUAAUAACAAUAACAAUAAUCAUUUACCUAAACAAAUUUAUGCUAAGGGUAUUCUAGUCAUUUUAGUUUUUUCCAUUAUGCUAUUACACCUCCAUUCCAUUCAACCAAACACAAGAUUACUAUUACGCCUCUAUUCCAUUACAUUCAACCAAACAAUUGAUUUGCUAUUACGCGAUCUAUUCCAAUACAGCGAACCAAACGUGCCCUAAAUGUUGUAGAUUAAACUUGUUGAAUCAAAACUAAAUUGACAAAAUAUGUAAACGUUACAUGUUAAAUUUGUUAAUCAGGACCAAAUCGAAAUAUGUAAACAUCAAAAACUAAAUUUAUUAUAUCAAUCAAAAUAGUUGUGAUUAAUUAUUUUUAAUUGUUGAUGAGAGGAUGAAAUUGGUUUACUUGUGUUUCCAAGUUAUUUACAUUCAUUGAAUUUGAACACACCCAAAUAAGGAGAUUUAUUUAUUUUAAUUACAUUAUGAUUAACACUAAUAUAAUGAUAAUCAAAAGUGAAAUCCAUCAUAACAAGUAAUGGACAAACCAUCAUUAUUUGAACAUUUGGAGACGGAUUUCUUGACUGUUUUUCUACAAUUUCCCGUCGUUGCACCAAACUUCUUCAAUAUUUAUUUAUAAUAUCGAGAACGAUAUUGCUAGAAGUAAUGGAUUCGAAUCUUGGAUUGACUAGUUUUCAUGAAUAAUAAAAUUAAAAUCAAUUCAAUAUAAAACACAAUGAAUGAAAAUCGAAAUAUAUUUAAAUCUAAGCUAAAAUAGAUAUCACGACGAGAGUAAUAUAAAAAAACCUAAUUAUACUGCUAAAACUUGAAUUUAAACCAUUAAUUACAAUAUAAUCAAUCUAAGAUUUAUAUCUUUAUUUCUAUCCCAAUUACAAUUAUUCCAUAUCCUUAAAGUGUAAGAUAUCACUUGCAUUAACGCGUGGAGUCCUUCGUAUUAUUGUAACAAUAAUAUAUCAACUAAUCGAUACAAAUAAAUAAUUGAAUGAAAUUAAAUAAUUUUCCCUUCCAUUUUAUAUUAUUUUCUUCUCUUUGCAUUGACAUACUUUUUGGACCAAAUAAGUCAUUUGAGGAAACAAUAUUACUACACUACCCUCGUAAACAUUUCUUCGUUUGACAAAAAAUUGCAACAAAACUGUGUUUCAUUGUUGUCCUACAUUGCAUUGCUAGUGUUAGUGACAUUGCCAUUGCUAUUAUGGCCAUUAUUGGGGUGAGAUUCAGAACUCUCAAUAAUAGAUGUAAUAGCUGCGGCUAGAGCAGCGGCGAAGCUCGGGUCCGUCGCAAUGGCUGCCGUGGCCGCAUUUACAGUGUCAGCAAUUGAAUUUUGUUCACCCUGUUGCAGCCGAUCCAAAGCUUUAGACAUUUGUAUACGGGAGAAUUUUGACUGAUUGUCAAGUGCCUGGCCGAAAACUUGAGGCACCAAUGCGGCGGUAACCGCUACAGAAUUGGCAACGUUGUAAGGCGGCGGAGGGCUCGAAAACGAGGACUGUGUUAAAUCCAAGGUAACGCUGGGGAAUGGAGUUGAAGCCGAUAUAGUAGCCAUGGUGGAAGAGCAAGGCAGGAGAGUUGUGGUGAGGAGAUUCGAGUUCAUCAGUCCGUCGGGACUAGACGUUGAACCCGAUACCAACAUUCGUGCUGCUGAUGACGUCGUCGAUGCCAUCGACAUCGCCGAUGGAGGCAAAGGGUGGUUGUGAUUGCCUUCGUAUGUGGUGAUAAGAAUUGUUCGAUCUUCGGCACAUCUCUGUACCUAUAACAUUAACAUUAAUCGACUAUUUAAAUGACGGUCACGGACGCAUGCAUUUUCGAUUUUCGGUUUCCAAUAGUACCUGUUUUCUAACGGGACAACCGGUAGCCAUAGUACAUCGAUAAUAUGCUCGUGGACACGGAUUUCCCUUCGCCAUUUUCUGUCCGUACUUCCUCCAUUGACAUCCAUCCGUAAUCUUUCCGACAACCAAAAUAAUUAACCCGAAUUAAAAUCAAACACGAACAAAACACCAACAAUCCAAUAUUAAUCGCAACAUAUAUACCAUCGGAGCCUCUGAUCUAGCUCGAACGGAAACUCGUGCUUUUCUCAUGGCGGCCUCACUUUGAUCAACAUCGAAUCCCGGACCCUUGUUAUCACCACCGGAGCUAUCUUCACGCUGGCUCUUGCCUUCCGGAGACGACGGAGACGACUCAUUGGCAUCGGCGGCGACAGCUAAACCAAGAUCUAUAAACUGUCUAGGCACUAUUAUUCCACCAUUUCGUUUCUUAUUUUCUUCAUCUUCUUCUUUAGCUUUUCCACCAUUUUUCAUCAUCAAUGAACACAAAUGAAUCUUCAUUGUAUUAUAGUUCUCAGUUGCCUGAAUCAACAUCUCCUUUAAUCUUUCAUUCUCAGCGUUCAUUUGUACCAGCUUAGCUCGUAAAACAGCUACCUUUAAAAAAAACAAUGGCACAGUAUUAUAUAAUAUUAUCAAAUUCACUUAAAAAAAAAAGAAGAAGACUCAGUUUUUUUUUUCACCUCAUUAUUAGCUUUUUUAUCUUCCAUAGUGGACUGAUCGGUACUGGUAUUUGCAGUUAACAGAUUUAGACCAAUCUGAAUAUAAAAAAACACGCACACAAAAGAUUCAUCAAUUCAAUCCAUUGAAGUACAAAUUUAAAAGAGAUAUCAAUGAUGGGUAAUUAACUCACGUUGACGUUAAGCUCAAGUCCGGCAUCGGAAGUGUGCAUGGAAUCAGCAACAUCGACGAGUUUAUCGUUUUUUUCAGCGAAAAAAUCCAGUUCACCGACGACCCUUCGUUUAUCAUCAUCUGAGGGUAAAAAAGAAGGGCGAGUUUGAUCGGAAAAACAGUCGAAUUUAACGGGGAACCGAUCGAUGGUAGAUGGCAGAGACAUGUUUGCCGGCGUUGUUGUAGUACCAGAAAACAUUGUUUUGUUGUUGUUGUUGUUGUUGUUUUUGUUGGUGUCUUUGGGAGUGUAUUCGGGGAAAGAAUUGAGGACAGGUGGGUUGUGAAUUAAGAAAUAGUUUGGGUCAAAAUCAAAAUUGGAGAGUCCACUGGUUUUCGCCAUUGAUGAAGAAGAAAGAAACAAAGAAAGAGAUGAAGAAGAGAGUGUUUGAACGGUGCAGACUGCAGAGGACUCGGCAAUUAAAAGGGCGUUAAGACCUUUAGAAGAAAGUGCGAAGUAUUUAGUAAAGCAUUUAACACUAGUUAUUGUUUUUUUUUUUUUUUUUAGUAUUAUUAUUUUUUAAAAUAUGCCCAGCUAUUAUACUUUUUCACAAAAAUACAAAAUUUAGUCCUUUUAUUUUUAGUUUUAGGAAUUAUAUCUCUACUUUUCAAAAUUCAAAAUUCAAGUCAAAUUAUUAACAUUGUUAAAUUUUUGGUGUGACCUUUCAAAAUUAACAAAAAAAAAAAAGAUACUUACUUGAUAAUAAUGUAUCAAAAAAAUUGACGUUGUAAUGAACUUAAAUUUAACAAAACAAUUUUUACAGUGUUAACAAUUAGACUUAAAUUCUAAAACUUGAAAAAUAAAGAGACUAAGUUCAUAAAAACAAAAGUAUAUAGACUAAAUUUCAAAUUUAUAAAAAGCACACAAACUUAUGACAUAUUUUAACCUUUUAAAAGUUGUAUGAUGUUUGGAAAUUUUGAGAAAAUAAUUACAUUGUUGAUUUGAUUUGGUCCUUUGAUUUCUUCUUAUUACUUUCAAAAUUUUAAAAACUUGUGUUGUUUGCACUAAAAUGGAAUAUGAUAAAUAAAAACUAUUUAAUGUUAAAAAAAAUCAUGAUAAAGUAACACUUAUUCUUGAAUUUGGUAAUUUUUCAUCUUAAAUUUUAAUUUUUUUAUUACAUUUUCUCAAUUUAGUCAUUAAAUUUAGAUUUAGUUAAAAUGCGAUCAUGCAUCACUUUGGUUGAAAUUUAGAAUAUCACAUUAUCAUAUUUUUAAUUAUUGUUUGAUUUAAUUUGGUAAUUUUUCAUCUUAACUUUUAAUUUUUUAUUACAUUUUCUCAAUUUAGUCAUUAAAUUUAGAUUUGGUUAAAAUGUGAUGAUGCGAGACUUUGGCUGAAAUUUAGAACAUCACAUGAUCACAUUUUUAAUUAUCGUUUGAUUUAAUUUACCAGGUUUAAAAAAAAAGUAUCCUUUCCUCUUGCAUCUUUAAUUUUGAUUAUCUUCUAAAGCAAAAUUGUAUAUUUAUAUUAUAAAAUAUUAAUUAGAGAUUAAAAAUUUUGUUUAAAUAAAAAUAAUUAUUUAAUACAUUAUCAAUAAAAAAAUUUAACUCUAAAAAUAAAUAAAUAAAACACAUGUGAUUUUUAAAUUCUAUUUAUGAAAUUAAAAGAAUUUUAAUUACAAUAUAUUAAAUACUAGUAUUUAAAUAAUCGAUAUUAUAUAUAUAUAUCUAUAUCUAUACCAACGGUGAACCUAAAUAAUACAUGAAAUAAAGGAAAUAAACAAUAAACAAUAAAAACACUUGAAAAUGAUAAAAAAAAUGAUUUUAAAAACUCCAUAUAAUAAUAUUUAAAAAUUACUUUUUAAAUUAAAAAUUUUCAAUGUAUAAGCAUAUAUAUAACAAAAUAGAAUUUUGAAUAAUUUUAGUGAUAAUUAGUUCCUUUUAAAACAUUUAUAAUUUAUUACAUAUGGAUACAUUCAUAUAGUUUGAUUUAAAUAAACUUAUAAAAAUAAUAUCAAACAAAUCUAAUCAAAGGGGACAGAUGGCAAACAAGAAGAGUGGACAAAAAUGUAAUCCUAGUCAACUCAAAGGUGCUGGGUGAAUGGAUUGCCCCAUUUCAUACGCUAAAAUCCUAUUUUUUUGACUUAAUUAGUACUCCACGUAGGAUUGGUCGUCAUGGGGCUGGACCGAGGCUAAACGAGUUGACUCUGCAGGCUUCUUUUUUGGACCAAUCCCUUACAUUCACUUGCUUGACCACUGUAUUAAAAUAUUGGUGCAAGUCGCUAAAAGAUCCUUGUAUUAUAAAGAUUGUAUCAAAUUAGUCCCUUUUAUUAUUAAAUAGAUCAAUUUAAUUCUUAUACUAUUAAAAAGAACCAAAUCAGGUUAAAUUAGAAUAGAUUUAACAUUUACUAGUGUUAGAAAAAUAUAUUUUAUUGUUUAAAAGAGUUAAUAUUUUUAAAGUUUUUAUGGUUUUGUAAAUGAAACCUUUCGUUUGGAAUUGAACUUCAAUUGAAAAAAUAAUACUUUUUAAGAUAUUUUUUAUACAUUAAAAGUUAACUCUGUUACAAUUUGAACUUAUUUGACUAUUCUCAACAAUAUAGAGACUAAAUUAAUCUAUUUAACAAUAGAGUGACUAAUUGAUACAGUCCCUGUAAUACAUGAAUCUUUAAAGUACUUUAACCUUAAAAUAUUAGUAUUAUUUCAUUAGAUUUUUCAAAUAUGACAUGGAGCAUGUUUAAAAUCCAUAGACUAAAUUGCAAAUAUGUGUGAACACAUUAUAUAAGAGGGUAGGCAAUAGGCCCAUAGCCUUGUGCCCCCGCCUUUUUAAAAUAAGAUUAUUCAAAGUUUAUGAUUCAUCUCUAGCCUCUUCAAACAAUUAUUUUAGCUUCGUCUUAGAUUUUACUUAUUAUUAUUUUUAAAUAAGAUUCAUAUGCAUGCAUGCGUAUAAUUUGAACCAUAUUUUUAAAACGUUCCAUGUCAGAUAUAAACCGAUAUUUAACAUCUAAAUUAAAUGCCCGAUUAAUACAGUAUUGUUAAAAUGUUUUUGAAGUGUUUAUACCAAUUAUUGAAAUAUAGUAUAAAAAAUACUUAAUUAUCCAAAUUUAAAUAAUGUAGAAGACGUGAACAAUAAGCAUAUUGGUUGCAUUCCAUUAUAAGUUAAAACAAAGAACAAAAAUACCAAGAGUUAGUGAAAUGUAAGGAAUUUCGGCCGCAUUAUUUGAAGCUUUAAGUCAAAAAGAGAGACGGUCUCUUCCGUUUGGUCUCUUCUCUCCACCCACCAUUUCUUUUUACUUUUGCUUCCUCAUUUCUACUUAUUUUUCUCAUUGCUCUUUUUAAAGAAUAAUAAUAAAAAAAAAGUGUUAAUAAACCUCUUCAUCAAAUGGUAUUAUCUUUGGUAAGGGUUUUGUCUAUUGAUAUAUUAUCAUUUGGGGCUAGGUGCUUUAUAUGUUAUUCUGUAAGUGUUCAAAUCUCGUUAAAAAGCAUAUGUUGAGAUUUCUGUAGUGGGUCCACUUCUUUAGGCAUCCAAUAAGAUGUUUCCACUCUGUUGAACAGUUUGGUUCAACUCAAUUCGAUUCUCGAUUUUUCUAUAUUAUUAUUUUUUGUUUUAGAAUUUUAGACUUAUUUUGACAAAAUGAACUUUGUUUCAAGGUUUUUGAAUAUUAUUUUACAAAAUCUCAUAGCCUUUUUCAUAAAUAUUUCUAAAAACAAUAAUUUUUCAACAACUUUUAAAUUGUUUUCACUAUUUUAAAUAUAGAGUAUUUACUUUUGUCAUAAAAUUAAAAUUUAUUAUAUAUUAAAUAAAAAAUAAACUUUAAUUUCGGAAAACCAUAAUUUUUAAGCUUACAAUCCAUUAACCGUCUAAACAACUCUAUCUAAGCCGAUUUUCAUUUUUUUUAUUCAACUGUACCAAAUGUAUUCAAGAACCUACCGAUUUUUGACAAAUGACACUUUAAAUAUUUUUCUCGAAUGAAUAAAAAAAUGUCGAAAAAGGAAAACUUGGUCUAAAAGGCAAAUGAUGUUUAUAAGAAGACUUAAAGAGGAAAACUAAUAAAAAGUUCAGAAGGAAGAGUGUAAAGUGAAAUGGUGUGGAAAAAAUAUCAAUUUUGAAAAAAAUAAAACGUGAUUCAUUUGAUUAGACCAAAUUAUAGAAAUUAAUGUUCUCUAAUUUCUUUCUCUUAAUGUGAACAUGAAUUGUAAUAUAUUAUUGUGUCAUUUUUAUGACUAUAACAUUAAUUACUUGGUUAUUUAAUUAUAUAUAUAUAUUCUUAGACUUAUAAUUUGAUACUUAAUUCAGUGUAAUUGUACAUAUAAAAUUUUAAUUUUGAUUCAAUCAUAUACAUUCAAAGAAAUAAAUAUAUUAAUUUAUUUUUAUAUUAGACAAAUAUAAUUAUAUAUAUAACAGUACUUUUGAGAAUUGAAUCAAAUUAAAUGUUUACAUCACAAAAUAAGUUAAAGAAUAAUAUUUGAUGCAUUGGGCUUGACAACACGACACAUUAAUUAUAAUUAUAAUGUUUUCUCAAGUUUUGAAUUUAGAAUUUAGGGUUUAGUUGGAGGUGGAUACAAGAGAGGCGGGUAGGAGCCUUGACCUCAAAAUGAUCAAAUUAUAAAUCAAUAUAGGGAAAAAUUAUGCUUUGACCCCCAUAAUGAAAAAAGAAAUUUUAUUCAAUCUUUUAAAAAAUUACAAAACCAUAAUUUAAUACAUGAUAAAAUAUAUAUUUGAUAUCUUAAAAUUUUGUAAUUCAAUUUCGACUCCCUAAAAGAAAUCUAAAUUCGCUCUUGGGUCUAGCGAUAAUAUUACAUUUCGAGUUUAGAGGUAAGAUUUUUUUUUCGAAAUAAAAGUUUAGGAUUUAAGGUUUAAAGUUUAGGGUUUAUGUUAAAAAAAAGUCCUAAAAUUUCUUGGUAUGCUUCUAUUUUUAUUUAAUUUCUUCAGCUUUUCCAAUUGGAGUCAAAAGAAGUAUAUGAAAAUGGGAACAGAAUCUAAGUUGGGAACUCAUUGGUGGUUGACAAUUAAAAUCCAUUUCAGUCUCACAACAAACCGAUUAGAAUAGAAUGUUGUAUUAAAAGUGGAUUCAAUUUAUAGUAAAAAACACAAGUGUUAGGUAUAGUAUAGCAUCAGCUAUGGCUAAUUGUUUUCUUAAUAAAAUACAAAAUAAUUUUUUUGGGUUGAAAUUAAAUUAUAUAUUUUUACGAUGGUAAAAAUAAAUUAUGCAUUUAUAAUUUUUAAAUGAUUAAAUUAAAUUUUUAUUAUUUUGGAGGAUCAAAGUGAAAUUUUAUUAUUAUUAAUUUAAAAUUUUAUAAAUUAUAAAGAGCGUAAACGAAAAAUUCUCUAUUUUAAGGAGCCGGGCCUUACCUGCUCCUUUGACUCGGAUACCACCAAAUUUCCACAUGAUUUUAGUUUUUUAAAGUGAAAUUUUGCAUUAUAUUUUUUAAAGAACAAAAGCAACUUUUCAUGUUAAAUAAUUAGGGGGGCAAAGAUACUAUUUUUUUUAGAGUUCUAAAUGAGCUUUUAUACCCGAAAUUAAAAUUUUUGAUUCGAGUGCACAAGUUGGAAUCUAAUUUCGAAGGUUGAGAGAAUAAAAUCGAGAAACACGUGGAUGGGUUUUUUUCGCAUGUAAAAAACUCAUGGUUAAUCAAACCCAAUUAAAUUUUAUUCUGAAUUAAUUUAUAAUUAUUUUGAAAAUUUUUAUUAUGUAAAAUUAAUAUUUUAUAUUUAGAAUUAGUGAAAUAAUUUAAAAUACUAUAUAAAAAUUAUUUUUUCCAAAUAUACAUAUUGAUUGUUUUUUAUUUACUUGAAAUUUUAAAAAAUAUAUUUAAAAUUUACCGAAUAAUAUUUAAAAAUCAUCAAAAAAAACUUAUUUUUUUCAAAAUAAAAUUAAAAAAUCCCACACUCUAAAAUUAAUGUGAAAAAUUGAGAACUAAGUUCAUAAAAUUCAAAAAACUGAAAACAACCUAACUCAACCCCAACAAUUCACAUGUUUGAAUUGAAUUAUGACUUUGAAAAAUGUAAAUACCAAAAUUGACCUAGUUCGGGGAUAAAAAUUAUAGGGUAAAAUAUACUAAUUAUCUCUAAAUUUUGUUUAAAAUUACAUUUCGGUUCCAACUUUCAAAAGUUAUAUAAUAGUCACUAACGUUACCAAAUUGUUACAAUUCUGUCACUUAGUUUAUAAGUUUCAUUAAAAAGGUAACAUUGCAUCUUAAGUCAAUGGGUUAAUAGUUAAUUUGGUCCCUGAGUUAUAGUUAAAAAAAUUAUUUUUAUGGUUUUAAAUUUUUCUUAACAAUAAUUAUAAAAAAAAAGAGAAAAAAAUUAAGAAAGAAGAGGGCAAGAGAGAAUGCCAAAAUGUUCUAUUAUACUGAUUGGGUUCUUUGAUAAGUUUCAAUUUUUUGAAAUUUGAUAUAUAUUUUUUAAUUUAUAAUACAAAGUGCCCAACUUUUCUAAAACCAUUAUUUCUUUUCUAUAACUUCAAUACUAAAUUGAGUGCGAUUUUGAGUAACUUCUAGUUUUAGAAUUUGAAUUUUUUAAAUUUAUAAUACAAAGUGUUAUUCUUCUGCUCUAAACGCACCUUUUUUUCUCUCAAAUUUCAAGUCAAGAUUUUACUUUUAGCUAUAAAUAAAACAUAUAUAUUAUUUUUAAUGGCCUUGGAAGAACGGAGUUGACGUUGGCAAAGAAAGAUGAAAAUGAAGAGAGUAUAAAACCAUAAAGUAAAUUAAAAAACAAGUAUGAUCAAAGUGAAUAGGUUUUUAAUGUUUUUCUUUGUAUGAAAGUUUGAAGAUUGUGAUUUUUUAUGAGAUUAGAUGUGGAAAAGUUAGCUACAAAAAUCUUUGUUUGUUCUUGUUGCAAUUGAUUUUUAUUUAUCCUUACAUUUUUUUUAAAACAAUUUUACAAUUAUUCUUAAGAAAAUUUUGAAAAUAUCAAAAUGAUUUUUAAACUAUAAUUCGAAGAUUAAAUUGACCAUUAACCCUUUCAUUUAAGAUGCAAUGUUACUUUUUUAAACGGAAGUUAACAACCAAGUGAUAAAAAUGUAACAAUUUAAAAACGUUAAUGACUAUUAUGUAAUGUUUUAAAAUUAGAUAACUGAAAUGUAAUUUUAAAUAAAAUUUAAUAUAGUUUAUCCCAUUUUUUAAUGAUAAGUGUAUAUAUUAGAUGCAGAAAAUUGGCGCAUCAUAUUUGGGUUCACAUUCAACAUUCAACAACCAACAAUUUUGGUUUUUUAUUUAAGAAAAACAUGUGACUAUUUAACUUCAUGUCACCUGUUUAUUCUAUUUUUAUUUAUUAUUGGUUUAAACCAAGCUUUCAAUCAAUUGGCAUUUUAAUUUAAAUAUAUACAAUCUGUUUUUAAUUCAAAUUUAUGAUGUCUUUUGUAACCAAAAUUAUUCAUUUUUUAUUUUUCUAAAAUAUAAUAAUAAAGAAUAUAUUUCAUUUAAAAUAUAAAAAAAAUUAAUAUUUAAUUCACUAACCAUAUAAAAUGUGUAGUAAUAAAGAAAAAAAAAACUUAGGAAAUGUGAAAUAAGAUUGCCCAAUAAUUAAUUGGGCUGAGUGGAACUCAAUUCCACCAUAUGCGAAUGGGAUUUUUAUAUUGUACUUAUAACUGUAAGUCUGUAACUUUAAAAAUAUCAAAAUAAAAACCUUGAAAAAAAUAUUAAUUUAAAACCAUGUGAAAAGUUGUAGUUAAAUUAUACGUAAUUAAUAUAAAGCUGGUAAAUGGUCCAUUUAUAUCAUGCAUGUUGAAAACGGGGUAAAGUUAAAUUAGAAUUAAAUUAUAUAUUUUUAUGAUAAUAAAAAUAUAAUUCUAUUAUUUUAAUAAUCUAUAUCUUUAUAACCUUUAGAAGAUUAAGUCAAUUUUUUUUUAUCAUUUUUAGGGGACUAAAGUGUAAUUUUAUCAUUAUUAAUUUAAAUUUUAUAAAUUAUAAAGAGCCUAAAUAAAAAGUUUUUCAUUUUAGAGGAGAUCGCCUUGCCAAUCUCUCUUAAAUCUACCCCUGGUUUUCAAGUUUUUACAUUUGACUUUUUUUUUUGGAUUAAUGGUACAAUUAUAAUAUUAAGUACAAAAAUGAAAAUUUAAAUAUAUCUAAACUCAAAUAAGAAUAAAUUUAAAAUAAAAAUUCACAUAAUAUAUAAUAAAAUUCAAACUUGAAAGCUUAAAAAUUAAUAUGUAUUAUAGAUAUAAUAUCAAUGCGUUUAAAAGAUACUACGUAGUUAAAAGAAAACAUAUCUUGCCAUAUGUUAAGCUGUUAAUUAAAUUAAUGUCAUGAAUCAAUUACACAUUAAUAGUUAAAAUACUUAAUUAAUUAAUAGUUAAAAUACUAUUGCUUUACAAAUUAAAUUAUAUUACUUUAAAGGUAUUUUUAUUUUUAUUUUAUAUAUUUAUAUAAAAGGAAAAAUGAAUACAUAUACUAAAAUUUAAACUCAAUUCCUCUACCAUUUCAAUCAAAAUCUCAUUUAUUUUUAUAUUAUUUUUUAAUAAAUAUAUAUUUAUUACAUAAUUUCGUUUUUCACCCACAUUGCGAAUAUGAACGCCAUGAUCUAAUAUUUGUUAUAUCAUUUUAAUAUGCUUAUGGAUAUUUGUACUCAUAUGAUCAUUAAUCCAACUUUUAGUAAUAAAAGUACUAUGAAGGCCCCUAUAUUAAGAGUAAGAAUCGAAUUGCAUUUUUUUUCCUCUAUUAAAACUGAACAAAUUAUCCGUUAAAUCAAAAAAUAAAUCAAUCUUUCUAUUAAAAAUUCAAUCCAUUUCUAUUAUUAAAAACUAGUCCUUGUACGUCAACAUAAUAGACACAUAGUACGUUUUUUAACACUACAAAUGAAAAAAAUUAAUAGAUAGAACCAAAUUGCCAUUUAAACUAACAUGGUCUAAUUGACCAAUUUGCCAUGACACUUCUAUCACUUUUAACUGAACCAAAAAAAGUCUAGAAAAGAAAUUGAAAGACCCAAAAACAAUAUUUGCUAAACUAAAUUAGUUUUAUAAACUUUAAAUUUUUUAAACAAUUCAUGUUUUAAGCAAUUUGGAUGUAAAAUUUCAAAUCCAUCAUUAAUUAAAAGCAUUUUACAUCCAACAAAUAAUUAAACAUUUACCUGAAAAAGCAAUUUAACAAGAUCCUAAAAGAAGAAAAAGACAUUUUAAAAUUCAAUAAUUGUUUCACCACACAUUCAACUAAAUAAUCAAGGAAGAACAGAUUGAACAAAAGGCAACAACGACCACCACAGGAUACAAGAAAUAAUACAGAUAAGUAGACCAAUCAAUGCUACAAUACAAGGCAAACAACCAAGAUCCAAUAAUAUAAUAAUAAAACUUGAGAGAGGGGCAAAAAAAUGGCUGCCAAUCAUUUAGAAAGUUAGCUACAUUCAUCUACUUUAGUAGGUACUGAAAGAUUGGUUUCUAACAUAAAUGAUAGAUCAUGCAUUUGUGACAUCAAUACCUCUAUUUCUUCAGCUUUUGAACCUCCUGUUGUUGCAUUGGAGAAAUCUUCAUCAGCCAUCCUGAAACAUGUGAAAGCAAAUAUGAGAAAUCUCCUCAGAUUUUCAGAUCUUCCCAUAUUCGUGGAGUCGUCACCCCGUACCUUAGAAAAAAAAGGGAUAAAUAUAAAAACUGUACAUGAACUUUAAACCAAAGUGCAUUGUCAUACAUGAACUUUGAUUUUGUGCAAUUUUAUACAUGAAAUUUUAAUUUGAUUUAAUUUUCACAAAUCACAAAUAAUAUUAUUGAAUUAAAACCAUUUUAUGUUGAUAUAUUACAUUCACAAACAAUUAUAUUAAUCCUGCAUGAAAAUAAAUGAAUGUAUUCAUUUUUUUAAAUGUGUACAAUUGAAUCGAGAUCAAAAUUUCAUGUAUAUAAUUGCACCAAAAUCAAAAUUCAUGUAUCAAAUUACACAUUGAACCAUAGUUCAUGUAUAAAUUUGAUAUUUAUCCCUAGAAAAAAUAAGAGUCCAGUCACCAUAUAAAACUAACAAAACAU